CUGUUUUUUAUAUGUCAGCUCCUUCAUGAAAAGCAUAAGGUAUAUGCAGGUACAGAAAUCCUUGAUCUUGUUUGUGGUGUGAGGGGAGUGGCUAUCAAUAUGCCUAGUAAUUGUGUUGGUUUCCCCUUGAUAGGAAAACAUUAAUUCUAUUAAAACAAGAGGUUACUUGUUGUAUAUACUAUACAGUAGAUAUAUAGUGUGGAUAGGAGAAUUCUAGUUCUUAUCCCCAAUGUCUGAGAUGAAUUUCUUUUGUUAUUAAGAUCUUAUUGAUGUGUCAGAGUUGAUUAGAGACAGGCAACACUUAACCUUAGAACUGCACAUAACUCUCCUUUUGCAAUGUCCCCAGCUCCCACCCCCCACCCAAACACACACCAAAUUAGCCACCAAAAUUGUCUAAGAAAGUAUGCUGUAAUGAAGUUUCCUUUAGCAAUAGAAGGGAAAAAAUUAUACCAUUUGGUUUUAUAGGUCUGUAUGAUGUAGGAGGAUGAUCCAACCCUUCUCUCACCAGAGAGAGAUGUUGCUCUUGUCUUGUAUAAUGGUAGCAGCUAGGGGCAAAGACAAUGUAGUUCUCCCUUGGUUGUGCCUUUUUCCCAUCGUAUUCCCACCACAAAGUUUCUCAAGCAUUAUAUAAUAUGAAUGUGACCACCUAAAUGAUUCUUCACUUCUCCAACUCAACUGCUAAGAUAGAAAAAGCUUCUUCUGAAAGGCCUUUUCCCACUGAAUGGGUAUUGUGACUCCAUGUAAUGGAUAUUGUGACUAUGUGACUGCUUCUGCUAUUAAUUUUAUUGAUGACAAGUUCUCAAAUCAUUUGUUUUGCUAACUGUUGUUUUCCUUUGUUGAAAACGUCAUUGAAAUACAUAAUGAAUUAACUCUCAAUUUAGUCCCAAUUUGCAGCCAGCUGAGUGCUCCUCCAUGUUAAAAAAUAGUCAUCCUCUAAAGAAGGGAGACAAAAUGUAAUGAAGAUGGAUGUUUGAAAACUACACUUCUGAAAGUGAAGCAGAUAUAAUAAAGAGAAGUGUUGAUGCCACAAGCACUAUCACAUUCUAGGACAUUUGAGAACUGAUAUGAAGCAAACCUAGAACAGAAGUCUAUGUUUCCCUCUGAACACCUUGUCACUAGUAAUAGCUUCGUAACAACAUUUUGAGCUGGAUAUAGACAUAAAGUCAGAAUUAGUGGCAUUUAUGAUACUGAAACAGCCUUAGUUCCUCGGAUUGAUGAUGGAUUCCAAGGGAAAAAACACUCUUAUUGAUCUUCCUGGAUCUCUAAGCAGAUUUUGACAGCCUUAACCAUGGUAUCUUGCUGAACUGGCUCUGUGAGAUGAGAGUAGGAGGCACUCUUCCACAGUGGUUCUGCUCCUAUCUAUAGAACCAGUUCCAAAAAACAGCAAUGAGAGAUUCCUGUUCAGCCCCACAGCUAUUAAGCUGUGGAUGCCAAGCUCUGUCCUGUCCUCUGUGCUCUUCAGUAUCUAUAUGAAGCUGCUUAAGUGAUUGCAUAAGGGUCUGGACUUGGAUGUUAUCAGUUUGCCCCAUUUCUAAUUAUUAGAGUCAGUUGGGAUAUACAAAUACUGUACCAGUGCCUAGAUGUGUAAUGGGCUGAAUGAGGACUAAUACACUGAAGCUGAAUCCUGAUGAGACAGAGGAAAUGUGUCUUGAUGGUUCUUAAAGUAUAGGGACUGGAUAAACAAUGUGUCCCAGAUAAAUUUCACUUCCCUUGAAUGAGGAAGUGCAAAGCUUGGACGUACUCUUAGUUCCAUACCCAUCACUGGAGACCCAAAUGGACUUGAAGUGCUUCUUAUCAGCUUCCACUGAUGCAUCACUAUGGCCUUUUCUGGACAGAGAUAAUUUAGUAACAGUAUGCAAAGGGAAUCUUGUAGCACUUGAGAGACUGAGAGAACAAAGUUAGUAAACAUAAGCUUUCAUAGAUUAGAUCCCUUUGCAUACUGAUAUUUCAGACUAACACCUCUGUGUCUUUGAAUGCUAAUUACAGUCGUUCAUGCACAACGUGUUGCCGAAGGCUUUCAUGGCUGGAGUCACUGGGUUGCUGUGAGUUUUCUGGGCUGUAUGGCCAUGUUCCAGCAUCAUUCUCUCCUGACGUUUCACCCACAUCUAUGACAGGCAUCCUCAGGUUGUGAUGUCAAACCUCACAACCUCUGAGGAUGCUUGCCAUAGAUGUGGGCAAAACAUCAGGAGAGAGUACUCCAAAUUACUGUAAUUUUGCAAACCUUGUUGCUUCCCCAAGUCUGUCCUGCAUUAACAAUGUCCCUUUGGGCUUCAUAUGGACCUAUGGUCAGAAAAUGAGUUCACAGUUUAGUCAACCACAAAGGUUUAGGAUUUCUGCCCAUUCCAUUGUCCAGACAAGCUGCAGGUUAUGUCACUUACGGUGUGGGUCAUUGACUCCAAUACAGAAGCUUCUCUUGUCUCACCCUGCACCCCAGUUUUUUCUUAUACCUGCAAUAUAGUGUUAGGAUCUGAGUGUUGUAAUACAUUUAGCUCCAUAACAUAGCAGUAGAAGUUGGCUGUCUUCCUCAUUUUAUACCAGAAAUACUGUCUUAUUGACUUACACUAUUGGUCUAUGCCUGGGGUCUGCAAACUAAGACCCACAGGCAGGGCCAUAGCCAGAAAAAAAUUCGGGGGAUGGGACUUUGUUUUAGCAAAUCAUGAAGAAUUGUUCCAUAAUGCAAAAUAAUUUUAAAAUUAGGCUUCAUCAAUAAACUUCAGUGGACACUCAAGACAGAAAAACUUCAGUGGACAAUCAUGGGGAUUUGGUUAACCAGUUAAAAUUCAUGAGUAAACCAGGGUGUUUUUAAUCUGAAAAUUUUCAGGGGGCUGAACCCCUACCCCCCCCCCCCCCUCGGCGCCCCGUACUAAACUUUAGACUUUGGGUCACCCUAAGUCUGAAGGCGCACAAUAACAACAAGAAUCCUAAUUAAAUUCACUAUCUCAUGAGACAAAUGCAGGCCUACUCUUCUUGUUGAAAUACUGGUAAGUUUAUGUUGGUUAACAUUGUUCUUCAUUUUAAAUAUUGUUAUUUCAUGCAAUGUGUAUAGGAAUUCAUGUUUUUUCAAACUAUAGUCCAGCUCCUCAACAAUCUGUGAGAUUGUGAACCAGCCCUUGGCUUAAAAGGUUUGAGGACCCUGGUCUAUACUAUCUAACAAUCAGUUCACUGUUCUGGCCAAACAAAACCUGCUGAGGAAUCUGAUUAAAGAAGAGACAUGUAAUAGUAUACCAAUUCAAGCCUCUGGCAUUUAAAAUUUAUGAAAAUCAUGUAGGUCUUUGUGGCCAUUAACUCUGCCAUUUCCCCAGAUUUUUUUCUGGAUUUCUUUUUAGCUCAUUUGUAUGGCUAUCACUGUCAGACUGGAGAAAAUGCAUAAUGACCCACUUAGUCAUUACUAAAAAAAAUCUUUCCCAGAUGCAAUGUAUUCUAUUUUGAGAGAGUGUUGCCAAAAUGGUACAUAAUACUCCUGAUGACAGCACCAUUAAACGUUAUAUGGUUAUUUUGAUAUUUACUGUGUUGAUUUCUCUUUGUCAUAACAACUUCUUCUGAAUGCUGAAGAUCUGUCAUGGGGAAUGAUCAAAAAUAUAUAUCAAGAUAUUUCUGUGGCAGUAAUAAUUAUUUCAUUACCCUCCAUCUUGCUUCUGUUAGGUGAAUUUGAUCUGGCCUUUUAUUUUCUACUCCCUUUGUGCUCUUGGACUUAAUAGCAUUUUGUAAUGUUUCUUUUCCAUAUCAGAGCUCUGUAUGAUGAUCCACUGCUUCCAUCAAAUUGAGAAUCUGGAUAAAUUUCAUGUAAUACAAUUUUGGAUGUGUUGUGAAACAUUUUUUAAUAAGACAAUAGAUUUUCUAAGCUAGACUGGGGUUUUCUGGUGAGAUUUAUUCAGAGGAAUUUUGCUUCCUCUAAGCUGAGAAAGUGUGACUUGUCAUCCAGUAAAUUUUCAUUGUUGAGCAGAGAUUUCCACCCUGUUUCCCCAAAAUCUGACACUCAAACCAAUACACCACACUGACUCUCUUAAAAUAGUAAUGGUAUCUAUUAUCUAAUAUUUAUUCUUACAAUAAGAAUUGUUCAUUUUUGUUGUGUGCCUUCAAGUAAUUUCCAACUUAUGGUGGCCCUAAGGCAACCCUAUCAUGGGAUUUUCUGGGGCCAAGAGAGUGUGACUUCCCCAAGGUGGGUUUCCAUAGCUUCAUGGGUAACUAUGGGCUCCAGAGUCAAAAUCCAGUACUGGCCCUCAAGUAUUGUGUACUCUUUCCCAUCUGUUUGUUUGCUUUUAAUCAUGCUUAUGCUCCCCUCCCUUUUGCUUUAUGUUUUCAUUUUAUGUCACAGCUUUAAAGCAUUAAGAAGUUUUGAUGAGUUGUCUAAGUGACUAAUUCAGAUCUGAGUUAACAUAUGGGAAGCUUACUGGCAUAUAAAGUUUUCUAUUGUUGGAAAUCCCUCUGAAUUCGUUAGAUGACGCACAAUAGCUUCAGUUUGGCACAUGGUGGCUGCAGUUGUGACCUACAAAAUGGGUUGUCGUGGUUAAUGUCUUGUGAAAUCUUCUUGAAAGUCUGGCUACACAACAUGAGCUGGCUUACCAAAGCACAUGCUGUUUUAUUGCCAUGUUUAUCUUUAUUUCAGGGAAGAAUUAAUUACUUUUAUGUCCUAGCAGAGAAAGAAAAUUCUAUGGAUCCUACUGUUUAUCUAAACUGGCCUCAAAAUUAUUUUUUGUUGCAAGAAGGACAAGGGCUCAGUUAGGGGAAAUUAGAAUCAUUUUGUUGUCUGUUGUUUCGUUCAUGAAUGUCUACAUUUGCCUUUGUAUAAGUCACUUUACAUGUUGUCUUAUUAGAAGUUCUCGUUAUUUUGCUGACUGCUCUUUGAUGGUGAUAAAUAGAGAUUAAGUAUUGUCUAAUUUAUAAAUACCCUCAAACAUUUGCCAUUCUUUAGUUCUUACUGAAAUUGAUCCUAGAUUUGAGUAACAAUGUGAUUGAGAACCUAAUUGCGCAAGAUGCUAGAUGAUUAGGACAACAGUUGUCACAUCAGCACAAUACUUAAGCCUGUGACACUGAGCGGCUGGCAUGAGAUGAUACAGUAAAAACAUUAUACAUUCUUAACUGAUUUGUUUUGUCACAAUCCCUAUAUAUUCAUUGGUGUAGGGAAUUCAUAGAGAUACUAAAUACUCCUAAUACUGAUUUACUGGGUAGCUGCUGCUGCAAGCAACAAAGAUCUGUUAUCCUGUUGAUCAGGAUGCAAAAGACUGAUAUUUCUAUCCAUUCCCAUGAAUGAUGCCCAGUGCAAUAUGUAAUGACCCAUAGAUUUGUUUUGGGUCAUUUUGCUGAGAGGGGAGAGCACCAGUGGAACAUCAGGGAGCCAGCCAUCACAAGCUGCCUUUCCUCUACCCAGACAUUCAAAAAGGUUGGAAACGACAUGAUAGCAAAGAUAAUAGAGAUGAUUGGUGGUUCUUUUAGGCUCCCCUAGGACAAGCUAAGCUCCUUCUUUUUGCUUAUCUGCUCAGAGAAGAGGAUGGCUCCUUUUUUGAUCUGAGUCAAGGUACAUUACGCACACUGAUUGGUGGGUAAUUCAUCCCAAGUAUUGGGGGCUGAUUUUUUGCCUAAAGUUUCUAAGCUUAUACAUAGGUACAUAGGAUAUUUAUAUCCAUAUAGUGCAUCUAGAAUAUCUGCUUGGAUUUAUAAUACCUUCUCAUUUUCACUAGAAUUAGCCCAGCUGUUUCAGGCACUUAUCCCCAGAAUAUUCCCAUGUUUUCUUUUCACUUCUGUGUAUGUGUGGACCUCUGUGCUUCCAGCUUCCUAAAAUCAUUUGUAGAAUAGAACCAAUGGCAGUCUCAAGCAAGAAGGGUUUGCAAUGACAGAACCCAGUUUUAGAACCUCGUGUGAUAACAUCCUAAGAUGGUGGUUCUCAACCCAGAGUCCCCAGCCUGUUUACCAGCUGUAAGAUUUUUUUUAGAGCUGAAGGCCAAAAACAUCUAGGAACCCCAGGUUAAGAACCACUGUCCUAAGAGAAGCAUUAUUCUUAGGCCACCAGCCUAAGGGCUGCCUAGUGUCACCUGCCCAACUCCCAUUUCUACCCUGUCACCAAUUCUGUUGAGUUUAAAGAAAAGAUUCACUCUGAAUGCUGAGCAUGAGUGGUUCCUCCACUGUAUGAACCUAUGUGCUAAGUAUUGCCAUCAUAAUUAGACAGGCACUCAACACCUCACUAUUUCUGCAGAAUAAAGCUCAGGAGAUCCAUUGAUUGUACUUCUUGCCCUUUGACAUUAAGCUGUGCCCCUUGAGUAUUGUUUCCCAUACAAUCUUAACUGAUCAGCUGGUCCAUGGAGAAACAUGGGCAGACCACAUUGUCUUGAAAGGAAUCCUCGUAAGCAGCUGCAGGUUCCAAAUAAAACCAAGGCUACAGAUCUGUGGUCGAACUACAGUAGAGUCUCACUUACCCAACAUAAAUGGGCCGGCAGAAUGUUGGAUAAGCGAAAAUGUUGGAUAAUAAGGAGGGAUCAAGGAAAAGCCUAUUAAACACCAAAUUACGUUAUGAUUUUACAAAUUAAGCACUAAAACAUCAUGUUUUACAACAAAUGGACAGAAAAAGCAGUUCAAUACACGGUAAAGUUAUGUAGUAUUUACGAAUUUAGCACCAAACGAUUGCAAUGUAUUGAAAAUAUUGGCUACAAAAACAUUGGCUACUAACAAAUUGACUACAAAUAAAGAUACAAUUGAAUAAAAUGAAUUUACAAUAACAACAUUGUUGAAAGUUAAAUCCAUAAAAAGUUCAGUCCUUGUUGCCUAGAGACACAGCUGUGAAUCCAGGUGGGAGACAGACUGUGUUGGAUAAUCCAGAACAAUGGAUAAGCGAAGGCUGGAUAUGCGAGACUCUACUGUAUAUCUGAAUUUUGUCUUAUGAGGCAUGAAACAUCACUAUAAAUUUCUCUUGUUAUAUUUAAGACCCCGAUUAUACCCUGAAUAUGUAAAGUGUCAUUCUGCUGCUAGACAUGACUUUCAUGUUUUAUAUUAAACUUGAGUUUAAUCUUCCAUGCAGCAUGGAAUAUAUAGUUGCAUUGACAUACUUGAGUUAAUCUGAUAUUUGCUUUGGGAUUCUACAAACUUGUUUACAGAUUCUGUCCAACAAAUACACAGUUAAAAAUUGAGUUUUUGGUGUGUGUGUGGGGGAGGGGGAGGGGAGGAGGAUUAAUCAACAAGAUCAUAAUUUGAUUUGACAGUGACCCGAAACUGUACACCUCCUUCAUGGAUUAAGUAUGCUAAUGUAUAAUAAAAUAUUACUUGCAAAAUAUUACUAGUUAGUAGGGGUAUAGGGAGCCUGGGUUUUAUACAUUUCAAGUCUUUGUUCUCUGGUCACAAAAAUAUAUUCUACUGCCCUGCAAGGUUCCAUAUCUGAAGAUCAGCUCAACUCCUGGCAGCAGACAGGUAGCGAAUUUUGCCCCUAUUUCAGCUCUGGCUAGUGGCUAGACAUAGACAAGUAAGCCUGAACUCCUGGCAGUCAUUACUCUUCCAUCUGACAAUCAUUGCUUUUUCCAGAAUUUGAGGGUUUGUCCAAAUUGACAAGUAGGGCUGAUCAUCAGUUACCUUUAAUGUCCCUUUGGGCUACUAGUUAACUAUAUCUAUACGUAGAAAUAAAACACAUUGUAUACUCUUCCUUUUUCUUCUGUUGAAUAGGAUCACCUCUACUCUGCAUGCAACAAGAGGAUCUUCUGGCAUCUUAAAUUGAAUGAUUCCUUCUCCCAUCCCUUUUUUCUCUUUCCACCACCUCUCACGCCCCAAACCCAAAGGUUUUGCAAAAAAAUACUUUCUCCAUCUUCUUUUCCUCUCUCAUCCACUCUUUUUGGACAAAUGUAGGUAUGUGCAGAUCCAACUUAUAGCAUAUAGGGAAGGGGUGAAGGAAGUGAAAAGGAGAAGGCUGACAGACUGGAAAGUAAGGGUUAUAUAUUUUUUAAAAUACUCUGCUGGUAUCAAUAAAAGAACACAAAUAAGUAGGAGGCAAAAUCUGAAAUGUCCAGGAAUUUCCAAUAUAUCUCCUGAAUCUUAGAAAUAAAAUUACAGGAAUAAAAAGUAAAAGUGUUUUAAAGGAGAGCACAUACUUAAUUAUAUUAAUUACAUUUGAAAAAUUGGGGAAAUUAUUUUACAUAUAUAAUGGCAGCUAAUUAGUUUUGUAAAUCUUAGACCUAUGAUUAGUUUUUAAAAGUAUCUUUUCAAUUUCUGAUCUGUCCUUACAUUGGAAUAGAUAUGCAUAGAAUUGUAGCCAAAGAUAGAUUUCUUUAUGGAAGUUCAGGCUCCGCUAAGUGUGAAUAAUCCAGCUCCUAACCAUCUAAGCACCAGACUAAGCAACACUGAUAAGUCUUUCCAAUGGCAAAUAAUUUGUGUGAAGCAAAUAUGAUCAAGAAAAGACAGGUUUGGAUUUCUGGCCACAGGACCUCUAAUCAAUGUACUGAAUAUAGCAGGUAAAUCUAAAUUAAGGACUUAUUUUGGGAAACAUGUGGAAGAUUAUGGAGUGCAUAUAAGUGCUGGCGCCUACACACUCACAGUGGUGUUAUUGUAUGCAUGUAUGCAUACAUGUGAGGACAAUUUCGUCCCUAGGUUUUCUAUUUUGGAUUAUACACAAUAGGUUUGCUGCUGAGAACUCAAGAAAAGGGCAUUCAGCUAAAUGUGUUAUUUCAAUUUCUAGUAUCAGCCCACAUCCCUACCCAUUGUAAAUGCUCUUGCAUUUACACAAGAUGAUAAGUGCCUCCAAACAAAAAAGUUGCUAUUAGAGUGUGACAUUUCAUACAUAGGAAUGCAACCAGCUUAGUGGAAUUUAUCAAAUAAGCUGCAACCUAAAGGCAUUUGCUUGUUCUGCCAUAUGCUCUAUAGGUAUUCUUAACUUUCACUUACAUAUAAAGAUAUGCUGAUUAUAAUUCACAUUAAAAUAAAAUAGUUUUCAAUGAAUUUUUACCAGUAAAAAAAAAACCCUUCCAAGAGUCAUGUAGCAUCUUAAAGACUAAAUCAAUUUAAUUGGCAUAGCCUUUAGGUGACUUCAGACCACUUUGUCAGAUGUUUUUAUUCCCACUAUCACAGUAUCUGAUCCUCAGAUUAUUUCAUAGUAAAUCUAGUUUCCAGUUAUGCUUUCAGAAUGCUGUAAAAAGGAUGGAAGUUUUUAGCAGUUACAACACUGUUGAGUCAAUAUGUUUAACAGCCAGAAAAUCAUAGUCAACCUGGAUUGGCAGAGAGGAGCUAGCUUGAAACGCCCAGUGGAAUGGAAACUCAAUCUGUGGGUAUGUGGCAUCUUUGGGCAGACGCCAGAGUUCCAACUCAUCAAGGCACUUACUCUUAUCGGAGUUUGGAAGUAAUUAGUUCCACAUAUUGUAGCUAGGUGUAAUGAGCUAAAAUUUUGAUUGUGUGUGUGUGUGGGGGGGGGGGGAGGUGAAACAAAGUUGUAUUUCAGAUGUGAGGGAUCUUAGAGUCUAAAUCAGAUAAUGUAGUUGUUAGCAUAAGCUUUUUUAGGCAAGCUGUGUACUUGCAUCUGAGGGUGCAGGCACAGCCUUAUUAUUAAAGUCUCUCUGUGUGUGUAUGCGUGCAGGGGAUCAACUCCAUGAUGGCUGCAUGAUGGUCAGCCAAGACCACUUAAAACAGCCUAGAACAUCAUUUUAAAAGGCUGCGGAUUGCUCCAGUUUUUUCUGUGAAUCCAGAGCAAACUGCGGCUUUGGGCCAUUUAAGUAGACAGAUUCAGAGAUGGAAAUGGCAGCAAAUGUUUACAUGGCUAUCCCACAUUCCCUCGGCUAAGGUGGUCCAGGGACACAGGAUGCACUCACCAUCCCCCUCCUGUUCUUUUUAUAGUGGCAGCCAACAGACGCAACAUGACUAGCAUCCAUCACUCAUUGCCUGGAGUUGCAUUGGCAAGGGCCCAAGGCCAAAUAGAGUUACAAGCUUGGUAGAUGCAGGGGAUGCUGUGGAUGUAGCAUAUAUUGAUUUCAGUACGUCAUUCAACAAGGUCUCCCAUGAUCUUAUUGCAAACAAACUAGUAAAAUGUGGGCUAGACAAUACUACUGUAGGUGGAUUUGUAAUUGAUUCAGUGACUGAACCCAAAGGGUGCUCACAAAAUGUUCCUCUUCAUCCUGAAAGGAAGUGACUAGUGGGUUGCUGCAGGGUUCUGUCCUAGGCCCGAUGUUGUUUAACAUCUUUACUAAUUACUUGGAUAAAGGUUUAGAGGACAUGCUUAUCAAGUUUGUAGAUGACACAAAAUUGCUAAUUCUCCAGAAGACAGGAUCAGAAUUCAAAAUGACCUUAACAGAUUAGAGAGCUGAGCUAAAAAUAACAAAAUGAAUUUCAACAAGGAGAAAUGUAGGAUACUACACUUUGGCAGAAAAAAUAAAAUGCACAGAAACAGGAUGAGUGACCCCAGGCUCAACAACAGCACACAUGAAAAAGAUCAAGGAAAGGGACAGCUGAGAACUCCAUAAUUACUCCUUCCCACAUGGAAUGGCUGUUGCUGGCAGAUUGAUUCCACAUGGCAUGUGUGAGUAUUUACAUCUAAUUCCUUCUCUAGUAGCUACUGACGUAUUUAUUGGUAGAGAUUUGAAGGAUGGUAAUAAAUUUUUAAUUAUUAAAACAGAGUUUGAAAUAUUUGCUUUUUUUGGGGGGGGAUUACAGUUUCCAGAAUUAACCCCUGCCAGCAUAAUCCUUAUUCUUCUUUCUUUGUCCUUGUUGCAAAAAAUCCCCCCCCCCUAACUUUCAUGGAUUUCAUGGUGAAAAAGCAGUAGGGAAGUAAUCAUCAUCAUUCUUUUGUUUGAUAUAAAAUUUAUCUCUAGGAAUCUCUAUGUACUCCGGUGUGACCCUAUGGUCCGCUUCUUUCCGAGGCUGACCAUAGAGUCAUGGUGGAGGAUCUAGACCAGUGGUUCCCAACCUGGGGUCCCCAGAUGUUUUUGAUCUUCAACUCCCAGAAAUCCUAACUGCUGGUAAACUGGAUGGAAUAUCUGGGAGUUGUAGGCCAAAAACAUUUGGGGACCCCAGGUUGAGAACCAUUAAUCUAGAGAUUCCUAGGCCCCCUUCUGCGCUGUCCUUAUAUCCCAAGAUUUGAUCCCAGGUUAUCUGCUUUGAACUGGGUUAUAUGAGUCUCCACUGCCAUAUAAUCUGGGUAAAGGUAAAGGUUUCCCCUGACGUUAAGUCCAGUCAUGUCUGACUCUGGGGGUUGGUGCUCAUCUCUAUUUCUAAGCCGAAGAGCCGGCAUUGUCCGUAGACACCUCCAAGGUCAUGUGGCCGGCAUGACUGCAUGGAGUGCUGUUACCUUCCCGCCGGAGCGGUACCUAUUGAUCUACUCACAUUGGCAUGUUUUCAAACUGCUGGUUGGCAGAAGCUGGAGCUAACAGCGGGCGCUCACUCCGCUCUCUGGGUUUGAACCUGGGACCUCUCGGUCUUGCAAGUUUAGCAGCUCAGUGCUUUAACACACUGAGCCACCGGAGGCUCCUGGGAUAUACCGAUAAUCUGGGAUCAGAUCCUGGGAUAUAAGGACAGUGUAGAAGCAAUCGUAGAGAGAUAUUCUCUCAGGUUAAAAAAAUCCCUUUUCUUUGUGUUUUUUCCACUUUUACGAAGUUUCUAUACUCCUAAUCCCAGCCAAUGUGGAGUACUGAUAUUUAAUUACUAGAAAUGUUUACAAGAAUCCUCUGGGAGGACUUUCACCUUGUUAUGCUUUGUAAAGUCUGGAGUUUGGGACUUCAAUUGUGUGCUCCCUUACUCAAUAUGUUUUCCAUGUUGAAUUCAAAGGAAAAUCUUUGUGAGUAUAUUUUUAGAUAUAGUGUUCAUCUGGACAGGCAGGCUGUGAGCAACUCACAUUUUUCAAAAAAGGUAUAGGCUCUAUGAAAGCAGUUACCCAUUUGCCAAUUACAAAGUGACAAAAAAGGAAACCAGUCCUUUAUGUUAUCUUAAUCAUAUGCUAGAGUCUCCAAAGGCAGGGAAUGGAAAAGAAAUAAUCAACUAAUUUACUUCUUUUCCCUUUCUCCAAUGAGCACAGCAAACUUAUUUCUCCUUCUACAUUAUUUACAUCUCUGAUUUCUUUUAUGAAUGAAAAAAUAAUAAAUUGCUUAGAUGUUCUUUAGGCUUCAAAAUUGGUUUUACAUUUCUCAAAGCCUCUGAGAAUGAUUUUCAUUUAAAUUAAGCAGACUGCCAGAUUUAAAGCAUUUUCAGUACAAGAGAUAUUACCCUAGAAUUAGCUAGACCAGGCAUGGGAAAUGUCUGGCAAAUAUACACUUCAUAUGGGCAAUAGGAAUGGUCUCCUAUAUUCAUUUGAACUGAAUUCCAGUAUGUACACAAAGCUUGGUAGGCAGCCAGUAGUUAGUCAGAUGUUAUUGGACUGCAAGUCCUGUUAUCUCUUUAACUAGUGUCAAACUGACCAGGGCCGAUGGGAGGUACAAUAAUAUAACAUUAUUUGGGCCACAUGUUACCCACUAUCAUGCAUGCUGUUUGCAUGUAUUCAUACUAAGCUGUACCUUGUAUUGUUGGGAAUAGUUACAUAGGUCAACCAUGUAACAGCUUCUCUCUUGGAAUUUUUCCAUAGGGUGACCAUAAGCUAAAACCAACUUGGUGGUACAUAACAACAUACUUUGUUCCUCAGCACAGCCAUCAGAAACAAGUUCUCUUCUCUUCCAUUUCAUUUUGCCAACUGUAGAUGACAUGGUGAAACAAUGGGGGCAUUUGAGUUUGAAACUAAUGAUACACCAAGAAGUGUGACAUUACCUGACAUGUUUUCAGCUUCUGGGGUGAUUUUUAUGAUAGGUUUGUAACAUUACAUUUUGAAUUUCACUAGCGAAAUACAAUGAAGCAUGAUGUACACGGAUGGGUGUGUGUGACUUCAUAUCACCUGCCAACUUAUGGGGCACCCUCACAUUUCAUAGGGGUUUCUUACACAAGGUGCACUCAGAGAAAGUAUCUCUCUGAAAUAUAGCCCACAGCACCUGGUAUUCAUUGGCAGUCUCCCAUCCAAAUACUAACCAGGGCUGAUCUUGCUUUACCUUCCAAGAGGAGACAGGAUCUGGUGAUUAUCUAGGAUAGCCCCUUUUAUUUGGAUAGCAGGUGGACUAUGAUCCUCUGCUAGCUGCUCCUCCAGUAGGUAUGUAAGUCUUCACAAAUUUUCUUAAAAGAAUCAAGGAGUAAUUGAACCAUUUUCUUCCUUCCUGAAGAAGAUCCACAAUCUUUCUUAGAUAUUUGAUGGCUUAAAUUCACCAUUGCUUUUACACAUGGAGCUAAUAAAUGUUAUCAAACAUUUCUUCUUUCAUUUCUCCUUUUGCUAAUCUUAAUUCGUAGGUUAACUUUUCUAUUAGGGCUAUCACUCAUAUCCUGUCUAACCAAUUCUUUACUGAUAAAUUCUCUAGCUUUUUCCAGGUUUUGACUAAUUCAAGUAUUGUGGCCACAAGUUUUCAUUAUGCUGGCCCAACCCCAAUGUGCUCACAACUGAAGUGGGGCUGGCAUAAUUAAGAUGGCAUUCUUUAGUCCAGGAACAGAGCUUUGCUCAGUGCUACCAUAGCACCAUUACUUAGUCUGCCUGGCAAUAAGAGUAACCAGAGAGCAGUGAUUCAGUUGGGACAGGCCUUCAUGUCUAGGGACUUUAUUACAUUAGGAAAUACUCCAUUUCUGAGACUGUUUGAGAAUGAUUUCAAAUGAGUCCCAUCACAUGACAUUUGCUCCAGUCCAUCAGUAUUCCAUCGGAAUCCAUCUGCAAAGCAUUGCAGAAACGAAUUAUUUGCAGACGGAAUUCUAAUAGUGUUUUUUUGAAAUACAGUAGAGUCUCACUUACCCAACAUAAACAGGCCGGCAGAAUGUUGGAUAAGCAAAUAUGUUGGAUAAUAAGGAGGGAUUAAGGAAAAGCCUAUUAAACAUCAAAUUAGGUUAUGAUUUUACAAAUUAAGCACCAAAACAUCAUGUUAUACAACAAAUUUGACAGAAAAAGUAGUUCAAUACGCAGUAAUGCUAUGUAGUAAUUACUGUAUUUACGAAUUUAGCACCAAAAUAUGUAUUGAAAACAUUGACUACAAAAAUGCGUUGGAUAAUCCAGAACGUUGGAUAAGCGAGUGUUGGAUAAGUGAGACUCUACUGUACUAUGGAUUCUUCCAUUGCUGGAGCACUGUUUUUUGUGUGUGAUAGGAAAAUCUGUAUGCAUCUCAUCAGUAACUAUACGACUUGUCAUCCAUGGGCAAAAUCUCAUGACCACAGACUUUUCAUGAUGGAAAUGUCUAUUUUGGACAUCGAAGGGGAAAGGUCUCCAGGAUUACAGAAAUUGCUAAUUGCUGUUUUACCUCAUUAUCUUUUAAAUAUGUUUUUACCAAAAGCUGUGGAAGUUCUUCCCUCCAUUGCAUUUGAAUGUGUAACAGAAUAUUAAUAUUUAAAAUAACUUGACUUAGUAGUAGUUUAGGACUUCAAGGCAACAUCACUGCACCAUCUUAGAAAAAACUUUUGUAGAGGGUCAUAGAGUGAUGAAGGAGGUGUUUUGAAUGGAUUGGAGAGAGUCAGCCUUCAUUGGUGUAAUGCAGUGUUUCCCAAAGUGGGCAUUACUGCCCCCUUGUGGGCGCUGCAGCAAUCUAGGGGAGCGGUGAUGGCCACAGGUACAUAUAUCUUUCUGUUGCUAUUAAAAUUUUAAAAAAUUAAUUUCCAGGGCACUGAGUAAUAUUUUUUUCUGGAAAGGGGGCGGUAGGCCAAAUAAGUUUGGGAACCACUGGAAGCACAGUAUUUUCAAAACAUAAGAAUCAUAAAAAUCAGAUUUGGUGAGGGGAGUAUGCAUCCCGUCUCAAUACAGUAUGCAUCCAGUCCUAAAAAUAUAUGGGAUGUAUUCUGAUAUAAAUGGAUUAUAUCUCAAUGUGAUAAGGUCCUAGACUCAUCAGCAGUAUUUUAACACUGCUUGGCUCAUUCCUGAUCUAAAGCAUGUUGGGAGGAACAUUGACAUUAUGGUGGCACUACCAGGAAAUUCAUGCUCAUGCACCUAGGGUUCCAAUAGUUGCCAAAACUUGGGAAACUCACUUUUUGUACUACAUUUCCCAUAAUCACUCAACUAGUAUGGCAAGUGAGUAGCUGAGGGAUUCUGGGACAUGUUGCCCAAAACUUUCUCAAGCUCUGAUUGAGGCCUUCUAGUAAACACACAGUUUCACGACUGAAUGGGUUCAUGGUAUUUACUUGGCUAGCUAUACAUUUAAGGAGCUGAAUUAAGAUAUCUAUUCAUUUGCAACAUUGCCUAUCAAAUAAAAUUGAAAUGCUUGACACAAUUUUGGAAAAUACUGUUACAACCACUGAGAAGUUGUCCUAAACAAUUUAGUUAUUAUUAUUUUUUUGCAUUUCUCUUCCUGAUUCUCAAUAUGCCUGAAAUCCCUUCCUGUGGUAUUGUGUAAGGUUUCAGCUUUUCCUUUUUUGAAUUUGACAUAAUGCUUCCCUUCUUUUGUUUCCCUCAACAUCAACAUUUGGAUUACAUUUGGAGCAGGGCCCAUUUUGUGGGUGAAAGAGUCACACAGUAAAGUGCAAAGUACACUGCUAGUAAUGAAAUGACAGCACACGUGUUUAGAAAUAAAACCCAGCUGCAAUCUAGUCAGUGGAAUUUUGUUUCUUCUUGGUAGUGAAUUCAUUUGGCUUUAUGUCAAGUUGUUCUAUUUGUUUAAGUCCUUCUUUCCCCCAUUUUUGACAUCUUGGUCAACACUCCCCUUUCCUACACAUUUUGUUGAUCAGCAUUGGACAGAUGGUACAGAAUGCUACAUGUUAUUUAUAAUAUUUUAAUAAAAAUAUGAGAUUUUACAUUCCAAAAUAAUAAGAUGAAUAAGCAUAAUGUUGUUCAUUAAUGGCAUAACAAGUAACAGUUUCAAGCCACUUAAAAGGUUAUUUUAAAUGACAUUUUGACAAGACUCUCAACCUUUUCAGGCUCAGUUUUGUUUUUAAAUUAACAUAAAGUGCAAUGCAAUGAAUUCGUUUAUAUACAUUGCAGCAAAUUGCACCAAAUUACUUGUUAAACACUGCAACAUGUUGUGGGGAUGAAUUUUCAAAAUCCCUGGCCAUAAUUAGGGUUGCCAAGUGAAAUCAGAAUAAGAGAUUCUGUCUUUUUAAUGGUGUAAUAGAACCAAACAUUUCAGCAGGUGCUGAUUGUCAUUGGAAGGCAGAUUUGGUUGGCAUUCAUGGACCAGUGAUAUCAAGCCUAGAUUUAAGUCCAGGAACCCAUUAGUACAUCUGACUAGAUCCUUUCGGAGUCCCUUGGUUUGAGAUGUCCUGUAAAAGGCCUACUUUGGCCAGAGGUAGUUGCAAAUGCACAUGAGAAUAGAUCCAUGUACAUGGCAAAAGCCACUCUUUUUCCCAAAGGACUUUGUCUUGUCACAACUACAUUGUUUAAACAAAUUGAAAUGUAUCGUUAUUGGAAUGAUCAUCUUCACAUCCCAGUGCAAUUGUGUUAUGCUGGCACUUUGUUGAUGUGAAUUCCUGCAAUCAGGCUUCUGCAUAACCUCACUUACUAUGUGUAUUUCCCAACCUGUGCUUGUGUGCUGCUGUUGCUGCUGAUUAUUUCUCUAUUUGGUCCCAACUGUGCAAUUGCAAGGAAGAGUGGUGGAACGGUUAAUUGAUGGGUUUUCCCCAUCAAUGAAAAGACACCAUCCUGUCAUGUUUUAAGCUUAGUUCAACUAUGGGAGAGCUAUGAUACCAUUUCUUAAGUCUAAGUCAAAGGUGCUUUUAUCCUGCCUUAAUUUAUUAUUUAUUAAUUUACUUCACUUGUAUACCGCUUUUCUCACCCCGGAUGGGGGACUCAAAGCAGUUUCCAAACAUAUUAUGGCAAAAUUAAUGCCUACACAACAAUAAUAAAAUGCAACUAUCGAUUGCCUCAUAAAAACACAGUAACAUUAACAUUAAAGCAUAGAGUUAAAAUAUUAAUUUAAACAUUAAAAGCACACAAUCCAAAAAUCAAAGUCCACUUUAUAGCCUCGAUAAAAUUCUGAGUAAUUUUGUCGCUGUGUGUCUUCACAUUGUUUCCAACUUAUGGUGACUCUACCACUGGGUUUUCUUGGCAAGACUUGUUCAGAGGGCUUUUUUUCAUUUUCUUCCUGAGCCUGAGAGAGUAUGACCCGCUCAUGGUCAACCAGUGGGGUCCAUGGCUGAGCAGGGAUGCUAAACAUACAUGUUUAGUAGGCUUGGUUCCUAUAACAGUAUGUGAAAUAAUGGUUUUGCCAGAAUGAAUUGCAGUGAGCUUGCUACCUGCAUUUUCAUCUCUUGUUUUGGUACUGCUAAAAUCCUCUAUCCCACCAGAUCAUCCAUGAAUCAGAAUUUGUCUUUUUUCCUGAGAAAAGUUCAAUACCCUUAAAAAAGAGAAGACCAUUGGAUAGAAAACUUUAAAAUUGAACACACAGCCAUUUAUUUAGGAUUUAUUAUUUAUUCCCUAAGAUUCCCAAAUGGAUUUGUGUAAAGAGCCCUACCCAAAUUAUGACAUUAGUACUGAGUGAACUGUCACUUUCAGAGAUAGACUUUUUCUUCUCUCAUUCAAAUUCUUGCCCAUGUUUUGAACAACAAACCUUUGUCAAACCUUGAAUAGGAAGUUACACUGAAGUGUCUUCUUACUGGUGCUAUAUUUAUACAGGUUAUUGCUAAAGCCACACUGUGCAAACAUGAAGUGGAUAGUCAGAUUACUUGCUGGUGGAAAAUUGGAACAAUUUAAAUAGAGGUUUAAUUGGAGGAGGAUUUGUUAAGAGGAUUAUCUCAACCAAUGUGUUGUGGCUUGUUCAUUUUCAUUUUUAACAAAUGUAUUUGUUAGCCUUUGGUUUCUUCUUCUUUUGUCCUUAUAAUAAUUCCAUGUAUAUUUAUAUGACAUGUGCAAUAAAUUUUGCUUAUCCUUUCAGUUCCAGGUGGAGAUCUCCUCCCAACUACACCACAAACUGUUUAGAUUCAGUUUUAAUCCUGUUGAAUAACCUAUACUGUUAUUAUAAAUUUGUGGGGUUUAGCCUACUUUAAUAUUUGUACUUCCACUUUUAUUUUAUUUUUUGUAAACCUCUUUGAGAAUAUGAUGAAGGAUUAUAUAAAGAUAGUUCUGAAUGAAUUAAUAACAAGAAUAAGCUUUCCAUGAGAAAUAGUCUUCUGUUGAACAAGAAUUCACGUGCCUUGUGUUGUGAAGCUAAGCAGCUUUCCCUGUCAGAGAUUAAAAUGAGUAAAGGUGAGAUUGUAAAAGUUCUCACCUUGAAUCCAAGGCCCUUUCCACACAGCUGAAUAAAAUCCCACAUUUUCUGCUUUGAACUGGAAUAUAUGGCAGUGUGAACUCAGAUUACCCAAUUCAAAGUAGAUAUUGCGGGAUUUUCUGCCUUGAUAUUUUAGAUUAUAUGGCUCUGGGGAAGGGCCCCAAUGUACAAACUCAAAUUUUCUCCCACCCUUUCUCCAUUUGAGUGAUACACCUGAUCCCUAUUACCUUUCUGAAACAUUUUGCAAAGCACCUUACAAAGGUGUUAAAGACAUAAAAUAAAAAUGGAUUAAAUCACUAUAAAACCAACAAAAAUCCAGGAGCAGGGGACAAGAUUACAAUUUUGUAAUCUAUAAGUAAAAACAAAUAAAGGAGCACAAACAGAGCACUUUAAGAUUCUGAACAAAUGUGCCAGGAAAACAAAAAUGUCUUCAUGUGUCAUCAUAAAGAGAAAGUGUAAUUGUGUUCAACAUACAAAAGACAGGAAGAUAGAUUCCACUUCAGUGAGUGUCAGUUCACAUUUAACAGAAAAAGAGAUGAGCUAGAAUAAGAGCCUCAUCAGAACAUUUUAGGGCAGCUUUUCUCAACUCAGUGUCCUGUAUGUGUUUUGAACUAAAACUUUCAUAAUCCUGAUCAACUCUAUUAACAUGUCUUCUAAGCAAUGCUGGAAGUUUCCUAAUGUGGGCUGGGGGGAGGAACCAAAACUGCCUUCCACAUGUGCUGCUUUUCUGUCUUCUCCUUCUUUACCCCCUUUGUGUGAUGAUUCUUCUAGCUCCUGAGUUCCAGUAGGAAGGGGAAAAAAACUAAAAUGAAGUCAUCAGACUUGAGGGAAGGAUCAUCAGGUGUUAUAUAGCUGCCAAAGUGCAGCACACUGGGUGUGCGAGAUUAAAAUAAGGAUAACAAUUCUGGAUGGUCAUUGUAAGGUAAAAAAUAUCUCUUUAUGGUGGCUUUAUUUCAGGAAAGCUAUAAAAAAUAAGCAAGGAAAGAAGUAUUUAAACCUCUUUACAGGGAACAUUAAAGCUGACUUCUGGCAUAGAAGUAGCUAUCAUGGAAAGAAGUCCCUGUUUGGAACAGGUUAACAAGUGUUCUACAGAGGAACUAUUUGCAAGCUACCUAAUAAAUAAGUGGCUACUUCAAAAGGUAAAAAGGGAGAUAGUUUUCUAAACCAACUGUCUAUUUAUUUGUCUGUUGCCUUCCUAAUUAUCCAUAACAUCAUGUGUUUAUACAUUUUACCUCUUCACAAUAUCAGAUGGAAAAACAUGAGAAGGAUCAUCAAGGAGACCUGAGAGUAACUUUGGCAGAAUGGUCACUCACAGAAUCUAGUGUACUUGCAAAUCUGAGCUGGUAGAUUUGGCUAGUAGAGGUGUGCAAAAAUGGCUGAAAUCCAGUUAGUAAUUAAUUUUGGAGAUUCGGAUGGCCCCUGCUUCAUUUUGUUCCAAUUAGUAAUCUGAUUCUCCGAAGCUUUGUAAUUGCUUCGUUAAGAUUUGUUCAAUUAGUGGCAAUGCGAAAAAUUAGAGGCUUGUUCCCCUACCAUGUUUAUAGCUAAUAGGAUGAAACUUGGUGCACUUGUAGCCAACAUUUAUGACUUCAAACCUUCCAAGUUUCAGAAAGUUUCUGUCAUCCACUGAUUUUUAGGAAUGCUUUAAAGAUUUCACAAAUAAUUUUUAUUAAAAAACAAAACAAAAGGUAUCCCCUUGAAUUUCUGCACAAUGAGACAACACAAGCAGGGCAUGAGUCCUGUAAAGUUUUAGAAAGAUUAGUUCAUCUACUGAGGUUUGGGAUUUUUGAAAAGUUUUUCCAAUUAAAAAAACAUUUAAAAGAAACUAUAAGAGGUAUCCCCUUAAAUUGUGGCACAUUGAGAUGACGUGAGCAGGGCAGCAAUCCUGUCUAUCCACUUAUAGAUAGAACAGUCUAUCCACUUAUUUUUAAGAUUAUUUUCAAAGUAAGCACAUGUAAUUAACCUACACUGGGGCUUUAACACAGGCAGCCCUGUUCAUCUGGUGUAAGCAGAAUUCUGGGGAACAUAGUUUUGGGUGGGGCCUUUUGAAUACUCUGCUAGGGAGGUCCUCGCCUUCCCAAAUUACAUUUUUCAGAAUUCUGCUCAAGCCAGAAGAACGGGGCUGCAGUUUUAAGAGAACUGAGGGAAAAAUAAUGGCUGUAAGUUUGGGGAGGGAGUGGGAAUUUGGAAAACAUAAGUUUGGGGUGAGACACGCAAACGCUGAGGGGGACUGAUAGUGAGAAGGAAGGAGCUACUAGGCCUCCUUUCCACCCUCCUUCCUCCUCCUUCCCAGCAACCAUCAUUUCCCCUCACAGCCCCAUCCAUUCCUGCUCAUUGCUUCAGUCAUUCUGAUUUUUACCUCCGAGGGAAAGCCUCAGCUCUGGGAGAAAUCACCAACAGAGGAGGAGGAAACAGUGGUGAGGCCCUCUGCUCCCUUCAGGAAGUGGGAGCCACUGCCAACAGUGCCAGGCUAGCUCCAAAACAACAAAUCUUUACAAAUCUCUCCAAAAGUUUUGGAGGGUCCCUUUCUGAUUAGUAAUUUGGAGAUUCAUAUUAAAUAAUCAUACAAAUCUCCAAAUUACAAAACAAAGGUUCAAAGCUUUUCAAACCUCUACUGACUAGGUGUUACCUUUCCCUCUGCUUUAUUGCUGGGGAUAAGUCAAGAGGUUCCAUGGCCUCUUUUAUGGUAAGACUGGGACUUUCUCUCAUGGGCUAGACAAAAACAGAUUAAACUAUAAUUUGCAUGGAAGGUGAACAUAUCUUCUAUUGCAUCUGAAAACAGAAGGCUAACUUGUUUGCAGGCCAGGCAAUAUGACAUAUAGAACUCUGUCUUCCAAUACCUCAUGGCCAAUCCUGCCGGCCUCCAGCAUUUUCCAUAAAAUCCUCUUGAUGUUGGAAGUUAAGUAGGGUUAUCCCUGAUUAAUUCUUGGAUGGGAAAUCACCAAUGAAUACCCAAAGCUGUUGGCUACAUUUCAGCGGAAGGGACUGCUAAACCCACCUCUGAGUACUCCUUGCCUAAGAAACUCAUGAUCUCACUAUAAGUCAACAGGUGAAGAAACAUAUACCUUUAUUGUUAGGCCAAUAUAUGUUUAUACUAUUGUUUUACUGUAAGAUGAUGCUUACUGUUUUCCCCACUUCAUUCUCAAAAAGCUCAACAAGUUAGCUUAACUGAUAAUAAUUGGCCCAAUGUCAGCCAGAAAGUUUCAUGGUUCAUUUGGGAAUAGGAAGCCAGAUAUCCCUAAUCCGGAUCAGAUGCUAAUUGACAUGAUGUGCCCCUCCAUGGUUGUGUGAGAGGGAUAGAACUUCCAUUUACAAAGCAAUAAAUUUCCUUCGUUAUUUAUUACAUUUGCACCUAAACCUAUAAUAAAUGAAAUGAAAUUCUGGAGUAUAGAAAGUCAUCUUUUGUCUUGUUUGUUUAAGUUUUAAAUAUUCUAGAACAAAAUCUUGAAAAAUACGUUCUAUUGCAUAGAACUCAUUAAUGUCUCCAUGCUCUGUUCUUGAAAUUUUAAUGAAUGCUCUUUUCUCUUUUAAAACAGUACUUUUUAUUUAGCUGUCAAGGAAUAAUGGAAUGAUGAAUAGAAUUUUUGAUGAGUGUAACACCAAAUUAUUUAUUUAACAUGUGGAACAGUGACUCAUAAGUCUCAUGCAAAAUUGCACCAAAAUAUAGCUUUUGUUUUGAUCUAAAACUUUCACGCAUAUCUGGUAGAAAAUGGAGGUUAUAAAUGACUUGGAGAGAAAGAAUAAAAAUGAAAAGUUUUGUCCCCAGAGAGAGCCUUUCCUGAGGAAAUAAAAUAUUUGACCCAUCAAUUCAAAACAUUAGGAAGAUCAGAAUGGAAUCCUAAGGGCCAUUUACUUUAACCUUUUCUGUUGCUCCAUGAUAAAGUGGCCAUCUCUCACAUUCUAAGCACAUUGUUUGUUGAAUUUCAUAUAUUUUCUUGUAUCCCCAUGUACUAUGGCAACCUAUUACUUGUGCCCUAUUUUACAAAUAAUUCUCUAUUUAUAGGCAUUUUAAGUUGGAAGGGAGGGACUGUCCAGUCCAAGCACAUCUAUACUGUCUACUUAAUGUGGAUUGAAGGCAUUUCGAAAAUGUGAUGUUUAAAUGACACAGUGCAAAUACAUGCAGGAAUACACAUUGGAGGCCUUAAACUGGAAUAAGCAAAAUAAACUGGAAUAAGCUACUCCAAAAUAGGCCCUGUAAUGGACACCUUUGUGUGUAGAUGUUAACCACAUCACACGGUGAAACUAAUGGAGGGACAGGCACUUCAGUGAUCCACACAUGGCAGGGGAGUUAGAAAAAAAAACCCAAACACUUUAUGGCCAUGAAGUCUUAGAUAGUGAGGCCUCUGCCACCUUACUUGGUCAGUGUAAGGCAUAGAUGCAGCCUUAGUUAAAGCUAUAGAGCAGGGGUGUCUACUCAUUUUCAUAGAGGACCAUAUCAGCCUUAUGGUUGCCUUCAAAGGGAAGUUGAAGCCAUGAACAGAUAAUUCAUGGGUACAGAGGGCCAACUAUAAUUUUUUAAAAUAGUGGUCAGUACUCUUUAGUUUUUACCCAGUGUGGGUCCCCAGAUGUUACUGAAUGAUAACUCUCAUCAUUUUUUUAAUAUCUGCUAUGCGGACUGGGGAUAAUGGGAGAUUUGAUGAUGCCUUCUUAAAUUUAGAGAGUAUGACUUGCCCGAGUCCACUCAGUGGGUUUCCAUGGCCAAGCAGCAGUUCAAACAUAGGUCCCUCAGAGUCCUAGUUCAGCAGUGAAAUAACACCAUGCUGGCUCUUUAGACAUUUUUUUACUGUUCUGAAGUAAUUCUGAAGAAUUAAAAGGAAAUGAUGUAUAAGGGGCAUAGCUCUUAAAUUCAUCGUAAUAACAUUUGGAAAUUGCACUGUAGGAUAAUGUUUGGUAACUCGCCUUUACCUGUAGUGCUUGACAAAGGUGGCUUACCUCUGUCAAUUCACCAAGGUUGAAAUAAUAAAGUAAAAUGUCAGUUUCAAGCAAAACUGAGAGUGUUUAAGUCUUUUGGACAUGAUCUAUAAUUUCUUGCUUAUUUUGCUGGAGUUUAUUCAGUGAAACACAGGAUAAUAAUAUGGGUGGGCGGAAGGAGUCCCACUUGCAUUUCCUGCCACCCUCGUUUUCAUUUGUGCCAGUUGCUACUUGUUCAUAAUCACUGGCCUUGUUGAACACUGUUGCUGGGAUACAGACUAUUCUAUUUUGAAUUUGCUGAAUCCUUCCAUAUGACAAGUGGUUGAAGAUGACUUUCAUGUCCUAGGUUUAUGAAUCAAUAAUUCCACAUUUUUCUUCCAGGCAUUAUAUAUAUUCUUUCCUCCUUAAUGCAGACAAAGUUGUUCAUUUUAAAGUGCAUGUACUAAAUCAAAAUCUUAGGCCUACCUGGGACAGACCUGUAGAAUCAAAAUACUUAUAUGUCAUCAUGCCAAGUUUCUCCUAGUUCAUGCAGACAACACUAGGGAUAUAACCUUAAUGCACUUCAUUUUUGAAGGCCUAAUUUUCUGUUUGUAUGUAGCUUUUGAAGAGUAUUUGUAGCUCAGGACAUAUUCAACGCAGAAUAAAUCCUUAACUAUGAAAAUUCUCCUCCAUUCAGAAUACCCUUUAUCAUGGCUUACUACUACUCUGGAAACACGUUUUUCUACCAUGUUUGUUUUAAAAUGCACUUUCCCAAGACACAAUUCAUUUUUUCUUUCUUCUGAUUUUUAAAAACAUUCUCUCUAUCCCUAGACAACAUUUAACUGCAGUAAUAGAUUUGAGCAGAUAUUCAUUUGCACUGUGCUGAAGCCACAAGCAGAAAUCAAUUUUCCUUUGACAUCAGCAAGAUUUUUCUCCCUUCCAAACCUUGUUAGAAACAAGAUUCUGGAAGACUUAAUAAAACAAAUAUUGUAAGCACAAACUUGUAUUUUGAAGUUAUUCCUAUUUCACAAAAUAAUCUUCUGACUGAUAAACCCAUUUCACAAACUGCUGGAUUUAUAUAAUUGUGCUGGUGUGGCUACCAUUGUAUUGAAAGAGACAUUGUCCCUCGGCCACCACCAAUGGGAUUAUAUCCUAUUUAAUCCCAGUUCCUCCUGGGAUUCAGUCCCCACCCCACCCCAAACUCUGCACUUUCCCUGGGAGUGGAGGUGGCCACAUGUCCUCCUGGGUUAACCAGAGGUUGACCCAGGAUGGCAUUCAGCCCCCCAUUUCCCCCUAAACGUAUGUCCAGAACUCCUGGCAUAUCAGAAUGAUGCGCCGGAAGGCUGGGAGGAGGGAUUUCUGAAAAACUGGGAUCACUGUAUGGAUUGAUCGCCAGCAAUCCUGGGAGUCAAUCCCCACAGGGCCCACACCUGGAAAGAUCCAGACUUUACAUUAAGAUCUGGAUCUUUCUAGGUAUCUAAUUAAUCCAGAGUAAACUGGGAAAUCCCAGUUUACCCUGGAUUAAUUCGGGUUUACCAGAGGCAUUAUUUGGAUGGCUCAGGUAAACCUGAGACAGUUCCCAGGUUAAAAGCCUGUCUGGAAGAUCCCCGAGUUCAAAGUGUAAAAAUAGUUUGCACUCAACUGACCAGGGGGAGAAGUGAGGAAAGCUUUGCCCUUCCAGUAGGCUCAAGCAAAAGUAAACUGCUGUAACUUUUCAAAGCUUGUGUGUCUUUCUUUAAUAGUAACUGUUGGCAGAUUGACCACAUGGUGAUGUUUCUUGGCCACACGUCUCAGAUUUUAUCUGUGAAAUGUUGGAAAGUAGGCAAAGGCUGCCUGCUGCCAGCUGUCCUGCCUCCAGUCUGUCCUUUGCCUUUUCACACUGUCUGCUAUAGUGAAAGAAAAGAGCCAGCCUGUGUGCUGAGCAUAAACUGCACUGAUGCCAUUUGACUUUCCUUUUCUGCUGCUCUGGAAAAAUGAAAGCUUAGAGGCCUCUUUGUACUCCUUGCCCUUAGGUGCCAAGAUAUGACCACUUCUUCCUUUUGGUUGCUGUGAUCACCAACAAUUGUCCCCACUGUUUCGUAAUCAUGCUAUGCAAUUUUCCCCACUGAAAGGCAAAUCUGUAUGCAUAGAAAUGUUCCUUUCUUGGCAGCUUUUGGUGUCAUAAAAACCUGCAAAUUCUUAUUUAAUUCCUUCUUACUGUAUGUUUACUGUUUUGAAUUGGGAGAGAUGCUUAUGAGAUUGUGGGAUAGCUUGGCUUGCUUUAAGCAUUAUAUUUCUUUACUUGAGCAGGUUGUGCUGGUUGCUUCUCUACUUCAGGAGGCAAAAUUGCUUGGACUGGCACUGAAGUACAGGGAUGUUUAAUUUUUGGUGGCUACUGACAAGUGAAUGCAAUAUUUUGCAGCUGCCGCGUGGAACAGCUGAAAACAUGUUUUAAGUGGCUUCUAUUAGGUUUUGCUACAUGAACACGAGCUGUAAAAAUCUUGUGAGCAAUAUAAUUAUUCUGUAUUGUUAUAAUGCAGAUAUGCUCACUGCUGAAUGUGUGAUUUAAGAUUAUAAAGGCAGGUAUUAGUUUGCCUAACUGCAUAUAGAAAUACAAAUGAACUUUGUGGCUCAUUUUAUCUAUACAUUCCUUUGCAAGUGUGCUAAGUGUUAAGCAUUAGAAUUAUUACAUUUACUAAAGAAAUUUGGAGUGUUCUUUUUGUGUUUAGGAUUUUUAACAAAACAGUGUUAUUGACCUAUGAUUUGCUAUUGAAGCCAUGUUGACCUAUGGUUUGCUAUUGAAGUCAUGAAAUGUAUGGCAGAUAACAAAACAAACUGUGGAUUGUUUUCCCAAUUUUGAUUUAUCCCCAUCCAUACUUUUUGUCUGCUUCUGAUUCAUGGUGGAUAUUUGUGGGAAAAGCCAGUUCUGAGUUUGUGAAUACAACAACCUAUAAUUUAAACAAGUCAGAGUUUAUAAUCCAGAAAAAACACAUGAUUUCAGAUUAUUAUUCGUGGCUGGGUUAAGAAACCAUAGGUUGGUUCAUUCACCUGAAUAACCCAGGAUUUCAGCAAACUAUGCCAUGGCUUAUUGCAACUUGUAAAUAACCUCAUUUUUCUUUAAAAAUGUUGAAGACAACAACUUUGCUUUUCAUUUCAUGGAUAAUAAUAAAAUAAUAAAACUUCAUUUACAUACCACCCUAUCUCCACAAAGAGACUCAAUAGGGAUAAAUAAAUAUAAUUUUCUGCCAUCACUACAGAAUGCUGAAUAUUUUCAUCAUAAGCAACAUCUAACCAUGUAUUGAAAAUAUCUCACAUGGAACAAAAAGGCAGGAUGUGAUAAUUUCGCUCUAAUUGAAUUAAGAUGCACGCACAACAAAAUGCUUUAGGUGUAUAUGAAGUAAAUUGCACUGCCCUUGAACUGCUGUAUCUAGCAUAAUUUAAAAUUUCACCAGCAUAUGGCAGACUUUUUAUUAGCAUCACCUAUUCAUGUGUUAAAUAGGUUUUUUGAGAAGAAAAGUGUUAAUUGGAACUAUAACAGGUUUUGAACCAUAUUAGAAAACCGGAAAGGAAAAGGAAUGGCGCAAACAGAUGCUGGCGCAGGAGACAGCUUACAACAUAUAAUUAAACGUGUGAAUCAAAUAUGGCCAUGGAAAAUGUCAUAUUUCUGUUUUACCAUUAAUUGGAAAGGAAAUGGCUGGGGGUGUGGGGAGCAAAAUCAAGUUAGAUUCAUUCAGCCAGUCUGAAAUUAUUACUGUAUUCAACAGAAAUGGACAGAAACUUCAGAAAUACAUACAUUUUUUCCAUAUUCCACUGACUUUGAUGCUAUUAAAGUAUGUGACAGGGAAUCAAAAUAGCACACUAUGGUUGCUAAGUACUGUAGGGCUACUAGAGUCAACUGGGUAGUUAAUUGGAUAUUUUUGUAUGAGUUAGCCUCAAGGCUGGAACCUGUUAUAUAUUUCUUUUCUGAAAUGCACAUUUAUGAUAGUUAUAUAAAACGCAAUAUAUGAGUUUCAUUUUUGUGUAUGUGACAUUGCUGAACACCUGUCAAGAGGUCUGCGAGUUGAAACAGCUGUGCCUAUGGUGUAGCAAUGAGAUGUUCUUUAUUUACCAGAGAAGGUCUACAAAGGGGGUAAAACCUCAAGUAGAGAUAUAUCCAUGCACACUCUCCAGAGAUUGUUGGGUUACAAUUUCCAUCAGCUCGUAUCUGCAUAACCAAAAGAGAUGGGUGAUGGGAACUGCAGUCAGACAUCUGGAAAGCUACCCGUUUCCAAUUCCUGCAUUACAAUAUCUCACACUGUGCCAUAUUAUAGAACAUGUAGCAAAUAAUUAAAGAAUGUAAUGCCUAAUUUUCUAUAAUUAUAGUUCUAUAGCACUGAUUUUGUUCAGCUGCGCCUUUAUUACUGUAUAUGUCUAUAUGCUUAUUUAAAUCUGUGAACCAGGCAUUAGGAAAAAAGAGAAAGAAAACCAUGGAAAUAUCUGCUCAUUUGCUCAUGUUCUUCCUGCUAAAAUCAUUAUUAUAUGGUUUUAAAACCUUUUUCCAAUAUGGGAGCAAAAAGCUUGGUCUGGAGCAUAUUCCAUACAACUAUGGUUCACAGAUAAUAGGAAAUGCCGUCCCCUCCCUUUUUAAAAACUACUUAUAAUGAGAACAGAUAAUUUUAGGCAUGCUCUGGACAGCUGCUAUUGGAGCACAAAUGAAAAUAACAUCUUAGUUUUGUGGUUGCUAUGAAGAACUAUAGUGUUUAUUUGGCUGCUAAAAUGGAAAAAUGACGGCAGGCUAAAGGUGGAAUUGCUACAAACAGCUGACAAGGCCCAGCUAAAGUUCAGGCAACUGUGCUUAUAGCAAGAUGAAAAAGGAUGUAUGGAAUCUUGUUGAAAUUGCAGUAACAAUUAACUUGAAUUUACCAUAGGGCCUUUAUAAUGGGAUAUUUUGCCUUAGCAUACUGAUUCAAAAAUGCCUCCCUUUCCAGUAUAGACCAUAAAUUUUAUUAAUAUUUCCCCUUCUAACUAAGGCUGUAACUCAAGAACCUCUAGGUAGUGCUGGAUUUCCGCUACUAGCAUCCAUGGCCAUUAGCUAUGCUAGCAAGGUCUGACAGGUAAUAGCAUUCAACAAUGUGUAGAAGACCACAACUUCCUCAGCAAAGCUGAGAUCUAUGCACAUUUCCCUGGGAGCAACCCACUGAAUUCAGUAAGGCUUAUUACUUGUUAGACAUGCAUACAUUGCUAAUGUAAACCAUAAUACUAAUAUGGCCUAAACGGAGAAACAAAAUUAUUUUUAUUUGUUUUUCUAUGAAUAUAUUUCUGUCCCACUCUAUAUCAGAAGAUCACAGGAUGGCAUGUUAGUAAAAAUAAUAUCACUAAGUUAAAAUGAUAAAAAAUAAUCUAAACACACAAAAACACAUUCAACACAUCAAGUAAUUAAGACAGGUUUAAAAGGCUUUUUUCGGUUCAGGAGCAACUUGAGAAACUGCAAGUUGCUUCUGAUGUGAAAGAACCGGCCAUCUGCAAAGAUAUUGCCCAGGGGAUGCCUGGGUGUUUUUGAUGUUUUUACCAUCCUUGUGGGAGGCUUCUCUCAUGUCCCUGCAGGGAGCUGGAGCUGAUAGAGGGAGCUCAUCCACGCUCUCCCCGGGUUGGAUUCGAACCUGGCAAACUUCAGGUCAGCAACCCAGCCUUCAAGUCAACAGUCCUGCCAGCAUAAGGGUUUAACCCAUUGUGUCACCGGGGACACCUAGUAGUAGGUUCAAGGACUUUAAUAAACAGCAUUGUUUUUCCUUGGUGCCUAAAUGAAAUGCUAAUAAGGCCUUCAUUCCACAACUGAUGAGCCAUGACUGACUUUACUGGUGAGAUAUAGAGGAUAGUGCCCCCAGGAGAACUCAGACAGGCAUCUAUCCAUAUGAAGAUGCAGUCCCCAUGUAACAAGUUCUCAUGCUGUUAGGGCCUGGAAUGUCAUCCAAAGCACCUUGAACUCACUCUGGAUAGAUAUUGACAACCAAUGCUAUUUUGCUAAGACUGCUACUGCCUGAUGCCUAAUAUAUAUUCUAGUUGUAUUCUAGAGUGAUAUCACAUAGAACAUACAGUGUGAGUACAGGCAGUCCCCAAGUUACAAACAUCUGACUUACAAAUGACUCAUUGUUAAGAAUGGGGGUGAGACAACAGGAAGUGAGAGAAAUUACCCCUAAAAAGGGAAAUUCAGUCCUGAAAGAGUUAUGAGAAAAAGGUGUCUCAACUUAAGCUUUCUCACCAAUCCUUGUUUCUACAGCAAGCCACAUUUUUCAAAAUCCAAUUAUCACAGGGACAGAAAGUGAGGUCAAGUCUUCUGAACAUACACAUGCACACACAUAUAGCUAGAGAGCAGGGGAGAGAGAGGCUGGAAUUACACUUUAAAAUGUACUUGUUCUGACUUACAUAUACAUUCGACUUAAGAACAAACCUACAGAACCUACCUUGUUUGUAACUUGGGGACUGCCUGUAUUCAAUGAAGUUUAGAGAUUUUGGCAUCUGUGUAGACAAUGUGUGACCACUGGAAAGCUUCAAGCUGACUUGGACUGAUUAGAGUUUAGAAAGGGUUACCUUUUGGGAUUAAAACUUCCAGAAGUCUCCAGUCACAGGGAUUAUGGAAGUUGUAGCGUAACAUAACAUUUGGGAGCUUUGGCUCCAUUGUGCAAAAGCUGGAGAAAUAUCUUCCACAUUUUUGGAAGGUAAGGACUCAAAUAAUGAUGAUAGCUAAUAAGUAAAUGAAGAAUUAACUGAACUAAGUGGUGUGGACUGAUCCCAGCUUCCUUCACCUGAAUACUUAGGGUUAUUAGGUUGCUAUGAUCUAAAAGGAUUCCAUCUUUAUCGCAGAGAAGUUCAUCCUCCUUGGCACCAAUUUUGCUGGUCCAAAUAUUGAGCAGGUACGCUACUGAUGUGCUGCCCAUCUCAGUGCCUAGCUAUCUCUCUGCUUGUGUUGGUGAAAGUGGUCUGACUGUUUUCUGGUGUUUCAAUAUCCACACUGAAGCCACCUUUAUAAAACCCUCUUUAUUACAACCAUGGGACUUUCUCAGUACAGUGUUGACCCUGCUCAUGUGACAGUACAUACCCUGCAUCUGGGGUUUUUUUCCUGUUAUGUGAACAAAAGAUUAUCAGGUUUGGGAUGGAAGAUUGAAGGACACUGUUGUUGUGGCCUGAUCAUAUCCUUGUGAAGUUGGAUUGGGCAGGAAGAGAUCCACCCUGUAGUGGUGGGGGACUCAUGAAGUACUCCAUCUUGGAGACUUUAAGGAAUCUGAUAGAUUUCUGGAUACCCCCUGGGGGCGGGGGCGGGGGGGGGGAUUUCCAGCUGACAGGAUUGCCAAAUUGUUCAAGACCUUGAUUUCAUCAAUGCAAUAAUUCUUAAAUGCAUGAUCAGGUCUAGACUAAAGUCUAGGUGGCUUAGGUGGCCUGGCAAAGAUUGCCUUAUGUGAACUGUUGUUCUCUGUGGGUUCUUUCUUUUUAGUGAUGCAGUUUCUGGGUUUUGGUGAUGAAUAAAUAGCUACCAUAAAUUGAACUCAUAUAUAGAAAACCAUGGUUUUUUCCAGUCUGGUUCAUGUCAAUGUACACAUGGGGAUGGGAGGGUGGGAGGAGAUGGGAGCACUGAAGUUUAAUCUCUUCUCUGACGGGUGUGACAGGAGAAAUAAAGCCUGAAUCAAUAAGAGGCCAUUGCAAAACUGCCUUUGUCUGUAUAGGAGUGAGUAUGUAUAUGUGUGUCUGAGCGUGUGCAUGUGUGUAUAUAUGUACAUAUAUAUGUAUGCAUAUACGCAUAUGGGUGAAAGCAAUAGAUGGAAAUAAUGAUUUGUCAUUUAGAAGUAGAAAUGCUAGAGUCAGUUUGAUGUAGAUGCUGAAUAUGAAGUACAUCACUUCGCAUAACAAAAGACCUCAGACACCUUUACACAGCAGCAACCCACUUUAGGAGUACAAAGCAAUGAAAGCAUGUCAUCAGUUUGGCUUAAUAUCAGCAAUUCGCUCUGAACAAUUGAAAGUUAUUAUUUGAUAUAGAUGCAUGAGGAAUGAAAGCUUUUUGUAUGCAAACCCCUCCUCUUGUGCUUAUAAUCUAAAAGCGUGUAGGAGGGAGCAACACACAGCCAGAGGUUUUUGAUAGUGGCAGGUGUGGGGGUGGUAAAAAAAAAAAAAAGCUUGGGAAGAAAGAAGAAGACGAAGGGAGUGUGGUUUUCAUAUCAUAUCGGUACUUAUAUACUGUGGAAGUUUAUUAUUUUAGACUGAAGCUCCCACUGCCCUAACAACAAGGACAUAGCCAGCGGGGUGGAAGGGGAAGGUUAUGUAUGGGUUCAACCCCUUGCCAAAUUUUCAGGUUUAAAAAACUGGUUUACUCAUGAAAUUUAACUGGUUAACCAAAUCGCAAUGAAAUUUUGAUAAUUUACUUACACUAUCAUUACCUCCCUUUCUGCCAAUUUACAUUGCAAUUGCAGCAAUAGCUUGGACAUAGCAACCAAGUUUUGAUGACGGGGAUGUUUAAUCAAUAUUUUUGACAUGAAGAUGAUGUAAUCCACCCAAACCGACAUCAGACUUGGACUUCCCAGUUUAAACUCCAUAAGAAAAGCUUACAUUUAAAUACAACUUACAAUAUGAGCAAGAAAGAUCAAGAGACUCUUGAUGCAAGAGGUAAAAAUAGACACAGCAAAGAAAGUAAAAUAUUUGGGAAUUCACUUGACAAACAACAAUUCGGACUUAUUUAAAAAUAACGACAAAAAAGUUUAAAAAAGAUACAAAAAGAUCUACAAAGAUGGAAUAAAUUAUAUUUGUCUCUACCAGGAAGAAUAUCAACAAUCAAAAUGAAUGUAAUGCCUAAAGUGUUAUAUUUAUUUCAAACAAUAUCAAUUGUGUCUAAGGAGCCACUUUUUAAAGUCUGGAAUAAAGAAUUGACAAAAUUCAUUUGGAAAAAUAAAAAAAACUAGAAUUAAAAUAAAAAAUUUGCAAGACUCAUAAGAGAGAAGUGCAAUGACAUUACAAAUAUGGGACUAUACUACGAUGUAGCAGCCUGGAUAUGGGUAAAAGAAUGGAUUUCUCCAAAAAUGAAAGAUUACUCAUAAUGGAAGGGUUGGGUUUAAAAUAUGGAUGGCACUCAUACAUGAUUUAUGAUAAAAUGAAAGCAGACUUUAACUUUAAGAAACAUGGGAUAAGAAAUCCACUAUUGAGAAUCAUAGAAUUAUAAUAGAGUUGGAAGAGACCACAUGGGCCAUCUUGUUCAACCCCCUGCCAUGCAGGAAAAGCACAAAGUAUCACUGACAGAUGGCCAUCCAGCCUCUGUUUAAAAGUUUCCAAAGAAGAAGUUUUCACCACACUCCGAGACAGAGAGUUCCACUAUUGAAAGGCUUGUACAGUCAGGAAGUUCUUCCUAAUGUUAAACUGUGCGAUUGUCUGUUAGCUUGAGUUUGUUCUGAGACCUAAAGCCUUGUUAGCUGCCAUUAGUGUUUUCUCUCAUCCACCUGACUCCAGAAAAUGCCUAAAUGUCUAUCAAAGCAAAUAAAUGAUUUUUGGAGUUCAUGGCAAAAAAGAAAAAGCCAAAUGUUGAAGACCAAGAAAGCAACAUGUUGAGAACCAUGACUGGUCUUUUUCCAAUUACGAUUUUACAGUGGUCAUUCCACCAAUGCAGCUAAUGAAGAGAAAUGUAUGCCUAGCCAUAUAUUAUAUUAAUGAACCCCUCUGUGUAUUAUUUUGCUUAUCCCUAGCAAUACCUUGUUUCUGCUCCUCACAAGGUGUCAGAUUUGUCAUCCCAUCUAAAUAUGCUAACUUCAGGGACUCUGGGCUGGUGAACAACACAUCUUACCAGUUGAGAUCCAGGCACUGUUGUGCAAAGGCCUCAUUGAAGUCUACAUAACCUUUUGAGCAGCAUGUCAUGUCAGCAAAUAGCAGACAGCCUGGCAUAUUUAUAUCCUUUUUUGUAAGUGAGUGGCUACAUACAAUCAACCAAUAGGUUCAGAGCAAUGUCUGGGUGCUGGAGAGCAGAGCUGUUUUUUUUGUUUUGUUUUGUUUUUUUGCAAUGUAGCUUGUUUAAACUAACCUCUCAGGAUCCAGUGGAGGCUCUUGUUCUGACUGUCAGUUGAGCUGUUUUCUGUAAGUAGAGUGAAAAUGGAAUACCAUAGUGCCCUCACAGUUUUUCACCUCUAAAACCCUUCAUAGCUGAGCCUAAUUGAAGGAUUCUAUUAUUUUGCACAGACCUGCCCAGACGUUGAGAUUUUUGGGAUGCAAUCACUCAAAAGGUCCUUCUCUUACCUAACAAAGGUUAAGAAAAGUCCUUCUCAGUGGUUGCACCCAGUCUGUACCACUCUUUUCCUAGGAUGACCAGUGCAACUCCUGUACCCUUGAAAGAAGCAGAUGUACAUAUACUCUUUGUCAGUGCCCUCCAAUCAACUUAGAUCAUGACUUCCAUAACUCUCUGAACUAUGUGGCCGUUUAUCCAGGAUUAUGGGGGUUGUUGUCCAAGAUGUCUGGAGAGCACCAGGUUGUCAGCACUUACUCUAGGCCAGUGGAUCUCAACCUGGGGUCCCCUGAUGUUUUUGGCCUACAACUCCCAGAAAUUCCAGCCAGUUUACCAGCUGUUAGGAUUUCUGGGAGUUGAAGGCCAAAAACAUCUGGCGACCCCAGGUUGAGAACCACUGCUUUAGGCUAUAUCAAGAUUUGCUUGAAUUUCAUGCCAUUUUUCAGUUUCAAAACCAGCAUGUGGCAUGGCAAUGGAGGAGGAAAUGGCAAAUUCAGCCCUCCUUUGCACACCUGGAACUGGUUAUAUGGCUUUUUGCAUGCCAGUCUAUGUAUUUCUUGACACUUUAAGAAAAGCAGAGUAGUUGAUUCAGAAGAAAAUGAGUCAGUAAAAUGUGUUCUAUUCAGUUAAAGGAUAGCGUUAAAUUGUAUAGCAGUGUCUGUUCUAUUCGUGUGUACUUAUCACAUUUUUCACAUAAACAGAAGUACUAUUUAGGUUUAAGGGCAAAAUGUAUAUUGGUUUUUAUUCUUAUAUAUAUAUAAGCCGCCCUGAGUCCCCUGUUGGGUGAGAAGGGCGGGAUAUAAAUAUUGUAAUAAAUAAAUAAAUAAAAGAAGAGCAGAAUAAUAAAGCUUCUAGUAAUAUAAAUACAGUUGUUGCUAAAAAAAAUCCUUUAUCUUCAGUAUACAUGUAGCAUACCAGAAAAAUAAGCUGUAGAGCUUUUAAAUCCAUCAGAGAGAAUGUGGCUUCCUGGCAGAAAGCAAUUUCUUCAUAGGAAUUUUAGAAAGGAUAAAAUUCAUUUUGAAGUUAGCGGAAAUAUCUGGUGGUCAUCCUUUGUUUAUGAUGUUCUACUUAAUACCAUAUAGUGUCUCUUAAAAGAUUAAAAGACAUUAUACAAAUGGGAAAGUAGUUUCUGUUCAAUAUGAACCAAUUGCAUUGAUAUUUUUCCACUAAUAAAGUGGAAUGCAAUUAUUCCUUGGUUUGCAACAUUUCUAAUAUGAUGCAACUCUACAGUCAAAAAAGUAUGUUUAAUAUUUUAUUUGAGAAGAUUCUGUACAGAAAUAUAUAUUAGAAGAAAAGUACAGUGAAUCUUGAUAUUCACUGGGGUUUAGUUUCCACACCCUCUGUGGAUAUCUAAAUCUAGAUGCUCAAGUCUCAGUGCAUGGUGUCCUUAUAAAAUGGCAAAAUCAUGGUUCGUUUUUGGGAUAUUUUUUAAAAAUCCCAAGCUAUAGCCAUGGAAUCUGUGGAUACAGAAGGCCAACUGUAAAUCAGCAUCUGGAGAUUUAGAUAUACUUUUACAUUUCUGACUUCUGCAGAAAUUGUUAGGUGCAAAUUACAUUGGGAAAAGUAGAUAUCAAUUUUCUGUGUAAAUCCCUAAAUGUUUGGGGGAACAGAGCUUGAGCCUCUCCUAAAGCCGUGGGGGCUUCAGGUCCCAAGGAUCAGGAUUACCAAGGUUUCUGUGUAUUUGAACCCCCUAAUAAAAUACUGAUUAGAAGUGUUCUAGUUGUAGUGUUUGCAUUGACUUAAUAGGGUCUUAAAUAUGUCUUUUGUAGGUUUUAAGCAAUUUUGUUAUGUUUCAGUGUUAUUAUUUUGUCAUUAUCUUUAUGAUUGUCACAUUAUUCACUGUGAUAGUUGUAUUAUUUUACCAUCAUUAUUACUUUGCAUAACAUAUAUACAAAUAUACAAAAUUCAUAACGAUCUGUCUGCCAGUCUUGAACCCCUCUCUCCACUUUGUGUCCCUAUUUAUUUAGAAAUGAUGACUGUGACCUUCAUCUAAUACUAAAAUUCAUAUAAAUUUUGUUUCAUCAGUGGAAUUCAGUCAGACUUAAGUCUACAUGACAAUGCACAGAACUGAGUUUUUAGUCUUCCUAUAUUCUUAAUUGUGUGAUGAAAAGAUUAAAUUGAAUGUUCUGUAUAAUUUGGAAUAACACACUUGCAUCUGGUGUAGUAAAUGUUUCUUUUACUUGUUUGCUAUCACUUACACAUUUUUGUUUGUUUGUUUGUUUUGUAGGUAAGUACCAUUAUGAACAAUACAUUGGGGGUAAGUGUUUUGAGCUGAACAGAUCUUUCUGCUGAGCAAUAAUUUGUGCCACCUUGGUCUUUAAGCAAUUCUCUUGGUCUUCUGCAAUAAAAUUUAUUGGCAAGCAUCAUCAAAAUGUGCUGUUGAAGUUGAAAGUUCAUGAACUUGAACAUGCAUUUAAUCAAGUGAGUGCAUAUUAAUGCAAUACUUUUCACUUUUAGAAAACCUCCAGUCUUUCAGAUGGCUGGACGAUAAAUCCCACUCACCCCCUUUGGAUCCUUUAUGAGCUGUUAUUGAAAAAACUUGAAUAAUCUUUUUUUGGGUAUAAUCAGGGUAAUUUUUUUAAAAAGAAACAUCUGCGUGAUUACUAUUAUCUGAAUGAUGUGACAUUAUGCUACAUGAAUAGUCGGAGAUCAGAAAGGACUGAAAUUUCCCGUACUGUAUAAACCGGUCUCUAAUUAUAUGUAUCAGAUGAAGCUAUAAUUAGUAACUUCAUUCUCUUUGAAGAAAUCUCAGCUUUAAUAUUCACAGAUCCUCUUGUAGUUUUCACUCUUCACAGUAAAAGCUGUCAUGUUUAUAUAUCUGCUUUGAGGAUGGAUGGGCAGACCCUUUGCUGUUUUGAUAGUCUUUCACAAUUUUUCUGAUUUGAAAAGGAAGUUCAGACUUCCUAUUCUGAUAAUAUGUUUGUGCUCUGUUUUGUCAUAGGUGACAAAAAGGGCUUUCUUUCCUGCCUAAUUCCUAUCUAACUCAGCAGAGAAGGUUGGACCUUUGGGGACCUAUCCAUCUGUACAGUCAGACAAGGGGAUUUCAGUGCUUUGAAACACAAUGUUUGUAUUAAGGCAGGUUAAUGGUGCUGGUGAGAGUAUCUUGGAGAAGUACACAGGUUAAUUGAUUGGCUCUGUAUGUUUCUAGUUCACUGACAUUUUUUUCUGAGAAACCACUGAUCUAUCUGUUUAAAAGUCUUCUGUCCUGUACCAAAGGGAGGCCUGAAAUGCACUGGGUCCAUUGUGAAUCUUUGAGGUCUCUGCUCCAUAUUCUCCCUUCUAGUUUCUUCUCAUCUAUCCAUUGGGGAUGGAGGCAGAUCAAUAUUGCUACUUAAAAAGGACACAAAAAACUAUGCCAGGGAAGUUUUAUCUGCGCUAGUAUCCUAGCCCAAAUCUAAUUGCUCAUCCCACUGAAUCAGUGGAUCAGUACAACUUAAGAAAAUGUAAGCUGUUCCAUUACCAAUAUCCAUCUGAUUCAGUUGGUUUAUUCUAACUGGGAGUAAUGAUUGGAAUCGGGCCUCUGUUUGCACAAUGGCCAAUAAUGUUGUGAGCAGAUUAGUAUUUCCCUGCUUCUGUUUACCAGAAGUGACAUUCAGAGCCACACAGCCAGUCUUACAAGGACCAAUAUAGAGCAGUCAGGAUUCAUAGACAUCAGUAGUCUCGUCCUCCAUGAAUUUGUCUAUUUUUUCUUGAAAACCAUAUUUCCCUGAACAUUUGUGUGAAUUUUAUAGUUGUUAAUAACUCUCUCUGGAUAACACUCUCUUGCAGUUUGUAACCUUGAUUCCUGUCAAUAAGUUUUAAAAUUCCUUUAUUCUCUCAUUAGUUGCUUCAGAACAUUGGCAUGGGACUGUACAGUUGACUGCCUCUUAGGACCAUUCUACAUUGUCAUAUAAUCCAGAUUAUCAAAGCAGAUAAUCCACAUUAUCUGAUUUGGACUGGAUUAUAUGAGUCUACACUGUCAUAUAAUACAGUUCAAAGCAGAUAACCUGGAUUUUAUAUGGCAGUGUAGAAGGGGCCUUAGAUAUUUGAAAGAUGUGAGCUGUCAGAUUAUAAAUAUCUGCUUUGAUCAGAGGUGUGUGUGUGUGUGUGUGUUUACACACACAUACACACACAUAGAUGUGUAUAAUCUGCUUUCUUCUUUCCUGAUUGCUACACCCCAAAAGUAGAUUUCAUGGGAAUAACAGUGUGCAUCAAAUGAUUAGUUACUAAGUAUUAAAAAAUCCUUCUUAAGAAACAGACCUCUUGGCCUCCUCACUCCCCUUGUACAUAAAACCUGUGACUGACAUCCUGUUAGGCAUUUAUGUCAUCAUAAAUCGAUUAACAUAUAUGCAAAGGAGAAUUGUAAUGAUAUGCAACAUCUGGAUUAUCAGGAGAGGAGGUUAGACAUAGUUACAUCUUUUAGGGUCAUUGCACUAGAUCAUGAGAAACUGCAUGCAAUGUCCAAUCUGCAUCAUUACCAUAACUAUCAAUAAGUAGGUAUGUGUUAUAACCUCUGAUGCAGGAUCUUGGCCUCUAUCUGUGUAUCAAUGACUAUGUCUACCUUCUAAUUGGAUUAAUUCUCUUUAGAUAAUUAAAAUUAGAUGUAUUAAAAAGGCAUGUACUUCCUAUUUUUUUUUCAACUCAUGGCACAUGGUUUGUGAUUAUGUUAUUAGGUACCGUAUAUACUCGAAGAUAAGAUGAGUUUUUCAGCCCUUUUUUAUCAGCUGAAAAAGCCUUCCCUAGCUUAUAAUUGGAUCAAGGUCAAGCCAGGCAGCGGAGCCUGGAGGCUAUUGCUUGCAAUAUAUGAUGUAUUUCUCUGCUCCCUUAUCAGUGUGUUUGUUUUUCCAAAGCCUCCCUCGUUCUUAACCAAGGGAAUGUUUUGAAAAGGAAAAUAGACCCUUGCAAGUCAGGAAGAUAUAUAUACCCAUUAAUCUUAUAAAAGCAUUUUUGCCUGAAAUAUUUGUUAAUCUCUGUUACAGAUAUGUAGGCACUUCCCCUUGCAAGCCUUUGCAAUCCCUAUGUACCUAUAUAUCUCUAUCUAUCUAUCUAUCUAUCUAUCUAUCUAUCUAUCUAUCUCUAUCUAUCUAUCUAUCUAUCUAUCUAUCUAUCUAUCUAUCUAUAAAUUUUCCCCUCAUAUGUUUGCAAGUCUUUGCAAAUCCUAUAUACAUAUAGAUAUCUAGAGAUUUCCAUGUACCUGUAUAUCUGCAUCUAUGUGUAUACAUUAUUUUUAUAUAUGAAUUUUUGCCUCACAUGUUUGCAAGUCUUUGCAAAUCCUAUGCAGAUAUAAUUAUCUAUAUAUAUAGAGAUGUCUAGAUAGAUAUAUAGGAAUAUAGAUUUAUAGGGCAUGGAAAUACUACAGAGGAAAUGCACACAUAUGCAGAAAGAUUCCUAGAUAGAUGCAGAAGAGAAAUGCACAUAUUUAGAGAGGAUUUGCAAAUGUUUCUGGGGAAAAUGCAUAUGUGAAAUUAGUAUAUAUAAUUAUAGAUCUAUAUCUAGCUCUGCAUUGUUUAUAUAGGCAUUGAAUAUUUGCCUGUUACUAUGUUGGAAGCUGGCCUGAGUCCCCACAAGGAGAUAGAGAGGAUAAAAAUGAAGGAUAAUAAAUGAAUUAUUAUUAUUAUUAUGACAAAUGAAGUUUUAUUGUUGUUGUUGUUAAGUUAUUGUUAAUACCAUAUUGUUUUUGUUGACCCUACUUUUCUACAUAUAGAGCAAGUUUACUGUUUUUCUUUGAAAUAUAGUAAAUAUUCCAAAAUAUUUAAAUUGCUGGUCCCUCAAUUAAUGUAGUUUUAUUGGUAUCUAUUUUUAUUUUGAAAUUUACCAGUAACUGCUGCAUUUCCCAUCCUCGGCUUAUACUUGAGUCAAUAAGUUUUCCCAGUUUUUUAUGAUAAAAUUAGGUGUCUCGGCUUAUAUUCGGGUCGGCUUAUACUUGAAUAUAUAUGGUAGCUUAACAAAAAAAUGUAUAUAGACAAACCACAUAGGCAUAAAGUGUUUACAUAAAAGAACACCUCACUCCCAAUUGAGGUGCUUCAACCCUAGGAGAAGAUAAUACAGUUAAUGUAUGCCUUGUCAAUUAUGAUUGUGCAAUCCCUGCCCUUCUUUUAAACCACUAAAUAAUGCAGUACAAAUGGUUGAAUUGUGCUGACCUAUUUUAUAGAAAAAUCUCAUUUUUUUAGACAUCCUGAGAUGGUAGGCUCUUCCAAGGACAGUAUGAACAUGUUUGUGUUCUUACAACCUGAUCCAUAUCAGUGUGUGUUUUGGAAUGGAGGGGACUGUUGGUAGCAUUUUCUGGAAUCUCUACCAGGGCUCUUCUAAAAACCAACCAGCCAGGAAAGGGUUUCAUAGAAUCACAGAAUCAUAGAAUAGUAGAGUUGGAAGAGACCUCAUGGGCCAUCCAGUCCAACCCCCUGCUAAGAAGCAGGAAAUCGCAUUCAAAGCACCCCUGACAGAUGGCCAUCCAGCCUCUGCUGGGUUUGUUGAAGUUGUUUUCUUACAGGGAUAACCUGUAAAAAUACAGGCUGAGCAUCUCUUAUUUAGAAUUCCAAAUUACUCCAAAAUCCAAAAGUGUCCACAGGCAUGGUUGAAAUAGUGACACCCUUGCCUUCUGAUGGCUCAGUGUAUACAAAUGUUGUUUCAUGUACACAGUUGUUAAAACAUUGUAGAAACAAUGUAUAUAAGGUGUAUUUGAAACAUUCCAAAAUCUUUAAAAAAAAUAUCCCAAACACUUCUGAUCCCAAGCAUUUUGGAUCAGUGUUACCCAACCUGCAUUUUUUUUUUUAGUUUUACAGCGCAAAUGUAGCAUUUCAUUUACCAUGUUCCAGAAAUAAAAAGAAAGCCAUUUGAGAAUGGAAAUAAAAUGUUACAGCUAUUGAGAAUUGUCAGGAAAUCAGUGCCGGACAACAAAAACAUCACUUUGCUACUAAAACUCCCAAACAAAAUAAAACAAACAUAAAUAACAGCAAUAGCACCACAACCUCUUGAAACAUUUAUUCUGUCUGGAAAAAAUGUUCUAUACUGAGUUCCAUUGGAUGUUUCCAUUUUAUUUCCCCUAGAAAUAGAAAACUGUGAUUUCCUCUCAGAUCACUAGAUGUCAUCUUUCUUCUCCAUAAUGCAAUUUUGGGUCCUUUGGAAAGUACCUAUUUUUAGAUCGUAAUUGCAGCAGUUAUAAGCAGGCUACUUUCAUGAUGGCUGCGAGUUGUAAAUUGAGGUUCAGAUCCCCAUGCAGACAUUGAAAGUCCAAGUGCAGGAUAGUUGUGACAAACCACAAUCACUUGGCUAAAAUUACCUCAUAGAACUUCUGUGAAGCAAAAAAGAAAUACUCCAUUUUUCUUCUUGGAAAGAAAAAUGAAAAUGCAAUGUUAUUUAUAGGGUGGCAAAUGUCUAAACAGACUCCCUUGUGUGAAUGCAAUACUUCUUUUAUAUUUUAUAUAUAUACUAGCUAUGCCUGGCCACACGUUGCUGUGGCGUGGUCUGGUGGUGUUGGUGCGAACUUGUUGAGGUAGUGGUGGUAUUGAAUGUCUGUUGUAUGGUUGUCUUUAUGUUUAGUAUGCAUUUGGUUGUUUGUGUACUGUGAAAGUGGUGAGGGUAGAGGGGGUCUAUGUCCCUGUGUACUAUUGUAUAGUAUUUACAUGUUGUCCAUGUGUUGGGAAUGCUUGGAUUGUGUCUUGCUGCAUAGUAGAAAGGGUUGGGCUGGAUGGCCCUUAGGGGUCUCUCCAAACUCUUGUGCCUGUCCCCUGGGCUGAGUGUGUUGCUAGGAGACCAAGUGGGCAGAGCUUAGCCCUCUAACUGGCAGCAAUUGGAUAAAAACAAUUAUUCCUCUCCCUCUAAUUAGGACUUUAUUUUUCUUUUCUUUUUGUUGUAUCAACCUAGAGCCGUGGAUGAUGGGUUGUGUUGUCAAAUUUCAAGGUUGGGAAGCCUGUAGUUUUGUUGUUUUGUCCGCUGCCCUGAUGCCAUCACUCUUUUAUAUAUAUAUAGAUAGAAAGAAGAAUUGAAAGAUUUGGUGCUAGAUAAUUCCCCCCUUAAACGUACAUAUAACCUUACGACUGGAAUGAUGAUGUGGCAUGCCAAUAUUAACACUGAUGCUUAUAUAUUUUCUAAGAUUAGGAGUGUAAAGAACAGAUUUUAUGUGCUUUUCUGUGCUGCUAUAUACAUGAAUUCAUAGGCAAGAAGAUAUUAUUUAUUAUUAUUCAUUGCAUUUGUAUACUGUAUUUACUUUCUGCCAAACACAAUUAAAACAAUUAAAAUACAAAUAAAAAAUAAAAAAUCUCAAUUAUAACAUGUAAGUAAACUGAUUAGAGACAGAGGAAUAAAAUGAAACAAAUGGCACCCAGUCAGUUCAUAAUGCCUUGAGCAAUAAACCAGCUGAAAUGACAAAGCCCCACUGAAUAAAAAUGUAUUUGCCUGCUAGCACUAGAACAACAAAAAGACAGCUAUAGGCAGGAUUGGAUUUACGUCAGAGCUGCAUUCCUGAAACCCAUGAUACAAAUUGAGACUAACCUACAUGGCAAGAGCCUGCUCUGUAGGAAAUGGUUGGAGAACAGGAAAAUAGAUUCCAUAUGGAGUUUCCAAAGAUGUAGCAGCAUUAAGCUCUUUCAACUUUAAGGCAGGCUGAUUUUUAUUUUAGCAACAUAAAAAGGAAGGGGGGGGAGUGGAGUGAAGAAGAGUACCGUAGCAACACCUUUAAGACUGAAAUUUCAUGGAUAUACAUUAAGUUUCUCAGAUAUUGAACAGAGUUGUGACUGUAGGAGUAGGAUGAAAUAUAAUAGGAUCCAAAAAAUGCAAGCAUGACCCUUGUCUCAAUAAUAAUAAUAAUAAUAAUAAUAAUAAUAAUAAUAAUAAUAAUAAUAAUAAUUUAUUUGCCAACUGCAAAAGGCCACCCUUCUGGGAUCUGCAUGCAUCAUCCGAAAAUACAUCACACAGUCCUAGACACUUGGGAAGUGUUCAACUUGUGAUUUUGUGAAAUGAAAUCCAGCAUAUCUAUCUUGUUUGCUGUGUCAUAAUAUAAUAAUAAUAAUAAUAAUAAUAAUAAUAAUAAUAAUAAUAAUAAUAAUAAUGCUUUAUUUCUGUAUCCCGCCACCAUCUCCCCGAAGGGACUCGGGGCAGCUAACAUGGGGCCAAGCCCAGAAAAGAUAAAGUAUGAACAAGUUAAAAUAUAAAACAAAACAACAAAAUAAUAAGCAGUAUAAAAUGAAAAGCAAAUUCAAGCACAGAUUAUACAUAAAUACAUAAAACAAGAUAAAGUUUAAAAACCAUAUCCGUUUCACCACCAAAGGGACAAAAGAAUAAAAGGGGGUCAGAGUAAAGUGCAUAAUAACUAGAUUAUUCCAUAAAGUGCCUGACCCAGUGUUCCAAAGUUUCCAAGAUAACAUUAGGGGUAGGCUGGGGUGGGACCAGAGAUAGAGUGCAGAAUAGCAACAAAGUUGUCAAGGGGUCUGUAGUGUCUUGCUUAAUCGAAAGAACGUUGAAAGAACCAUGUCUUAAGUUGUUUAAUAAAAGCAGACAGGGUUGGGGCCAGCCUAAUCUCCCUAGGGAGGGAGUUCCAGAGCCGAGGGGCCACCACAAAGAAGGCUCUCUCCCUCGUCCCCACCAACCAAACCUGUGAUGUUGGAAGGAACGAGAGGAGAGCCUCCCCAGAAGAUCGAAGAGAUUGCUGAAAGGUCUGUAUCACCUUACAUGGCUCUUUCAAAAUUUGAAAAUCCACUAGGCUAAACAAGAGGCCUGGCUCCAAAAUCUGAUAACCCAGGCAGGUUGAAGGCAGAGAACACCAUCUUUCAAGCAGUCUAAUUCCAAAUCAUAUAAAGUUUCAUAAAUCAUAACCAACAUUUUGAAUUAUAUUUGGAAACAGCCAAGUAGUCAAAGUAGCUUCCAUAGCAUUAUGGUCCACCAUAGUCAGCUAUCUGACCAUAGCAGUCUGGGCCAGCUGACAUUUCUGAAUGUUUUUAAAAAGCAAGACUUAAAGAGAUUAUUAAUCCAAAGAAAUUUCAGUUUAGACUUUGUUGUUGUGCACCUCCAAAUUAUUUUCAACAUAUGGUAAUGCUAAGGCGAAUCUAUCAAACGGGUUUCUCAGCACAAAUUGCCUUCAUUUGAGAUUCGGAGAGUGUGACUUUCUAUGGCUGAGCAGGGAUUUACAUUCUUGCCUCCAAAACUCAAGUCACUCAGGAUUUUGAGACUAUAUAAACUUUUGCCUCACUAUCACCUUGGGAUAUAUUUCACUGCCACGCUAUGAAACCAGUCUAAUUUGAAUUAUUUUGUACAACAUCCCACUCGUACAACAACCUGGACUAAAGUUUGCAUUGUCUGUCCAUGCAAAAGUUGGUUUCUUAGCUCAAAACAAAGGACCACCUCCCCCAAAACCCAGGAGCCAAGAGAAAGCGGGUGGAUAAAGCCAAAAACAGGAAAGAGAAGUCGUGAUUGGCAUCAACCCAUGUGCUUACUCAGCUAUAGUUUACUCAAAGAGCCAACUUUCCACAAGCAUUCUCCUAUAAAUUUGACAUUCAUUUACUUUAUAAAAUGCCAUUACUGACACUAGGAAUUAGUAUCAAUGGAUGAUUGCCAAGGCCCACAAAUCACUACAGGUCUACUAUCAACCCUUGGAAUGCUCUUUUCCUACAUUCCCUUCUCUUUGCCUGUUCUGCAUGUUUGCUUGCUCUCUCUGAAUUGGAUAAACCCUAAGAGGAGAAAAUGAAAGCAACAGUUUCUUUCCAACAGUUUCAAUUCCAGAGAAGAAACCAUCAGGGCUAGCUAACACCUUCCAACAAAGGAUUCCUCCAGGCAGCAAGCAGCCAGGCUUUGAAGCUGCAAGGCUAUUCAGUGCUAAUCAAGGUAGCUAAUUGUAACAUUCACGCUUGCUCAAGCAGACAAGAGUUAUUUCUCCCACCCUGGACAUGCCACAGAUAUAUAAACCUCACUUGACUUGUUUACAACAGACCUCACAACCUCUGAAGAUGCCUGUCAUAGAUGUGGGCGAAAUGUCAGAAGAGAAUGCUUCUGGAACAUGGGCACAGAGCCUGGAAAACUCACAGCAACCCAGUGAUUCCAGCCAUGAAAGCCUUCAACAAUACCUUAAAGGAAAAGUACUUCCCAUACUUCCCUUGUCCUCUCUUUCUCUGGAAAACACAGAAAAAGAAAAGUGGGGGUUAGUCAGGCAACAAUGAUGAAUAUGGUGGCCCAUUUUAUGGCCUCAAGGGCAGGAUGAGGAGGUGUGUCCUGAGAUGCUUGUACAGAGAAAGGAGUGUGCAUUGUGCAUCCAGUCUAAUGUCAUUUCCAAUCCAUAUGAAAUUAUCUCCCCCUUUCCCCAACACACCUGCACAUUUCAAUUGCUAACAAAAACAGCAGAAUGGCCAACAAAAAUCAUAUUGAAGUGAAUAUUGUAUAACACUGAACAUUUUGGAGGAAAAGUGGUUUGUACAGGCAUAACAAAUGAAAUCUUUUAAAAUCCCAAAUGACAUGCAAUUAAUAUCAGCAAAGCCAUAAUAAACAGUAUUAGAAUUGUGCAAGUUGGGUGGUUUGUUUUGAAAAAUCCCAUGUUUAUAGUUCAGUUUAUAUGUAAUGUUCAUAAUACAGGGCUAAGAUAAACCCAGGAUUGUUUUAAUCACACUUUUCACUCUGUUUUGAACAUUUUAAAAACUCUUUCUUGGCUGUAGUUUUAUAUUUUUUUCAUAUUUUUCUUAUCCUGAAGCUGUUACAAUUCCAGCUAAGCAGCAACAAAGGAUCAAAAGAACAGGAAGGAGAGCCAUAAAUAUUUAAAAACACUGACUUGCAAGCAGGAAACCCCCCUCCCCCUUAAGCAGAUGUGAAGCUCUGCUCUAGAUGCAAAACUGUACUGUGCUGAUGGUUGUUUGACAUUUUAGGUUUAUAUAACAUGGCUGGGGAAGCUGUAUCUCUGGAACCAAUCUGAAAUUUAGCACUGUAGGAUGUCAGUGUGUUUUGCUUUGGGGAGGGGAGAUGGAGAAGGAAGGGCUGAGCACGUAAUUGCUUAACUUUCCUUUUGCAUUUGGGAGGAUACAGUGAAGAGCCCCUGUGGUGUUUUCAAAGGAGCAUUAUUUAUUAAUUUAUAUAAAUAUCCCAUCCUGUACCUGAAGAUCGCAAGGCAGGAUCUACUCAACAAAAGAAUUUUAAAACAAUUAAACUUGAUAAAAACCCCUCCAAAGCAUCUUCUUUUCUCCAGUUCUGUGAUGUUCUCCUUUGCUUGCCCCCAUAUUGAGCAGGAAAAUGUAAUGAGAACACAAACAGAAUCACUAAAAGACUGAAGCAAAUUCCAUGUAAUGAAAGGAUCCAGAGAAGGUACAAUUGAGGUGCAGAGUUUGACACCGAGGGUAGAUCUACACCAGGCAUGGGAAAACUAAGGCCCCUUGGGUGCCUACUUCAGGCCCUCCUCAUUUUCCCUGUCCUCUUGGCAUAAGGAUGUGGUGGCAGAAAGGACAAGGGAGGAAGGCACGCAGCAGCUGAGAGCCCUCUGGGGUGCUCCCAGCAACUGCGUGUCUUGACUUCCUCCUGUUAUAAGGACACUGCGUCACCAUAUUUAUUUAUUUAUUUAUUUGCAGCAUUUAUAUUCCGCCCUUCUCACCCCGAAGGGGACUCAGGGUGGAUCACAUUACACAUAUAGGCAAACAUUCAAUGCCUUUUAACAUAGAACAAAGACAAACAAACAUAGGCUCCAAGCGGGGCUCGAACUCAUGACCUCCUGGUCAGAGUGAUUCAUUGCAGUUAAUUGCAGAAGCUGGCUUGCUCUCCCGCCUGCGCCACAGCCCGGGCGUGUCAGGAGGGUAGCUUGAAGGAGGUAUGCAGCGGUUGAGAGCUCUCCAGAAUACUUUCAGAUAUUGCCUGUCUCACGCUCUUCCCCUGGCAUAAUGCUGAGGGGAAAGCCUGAAGAUCGAGGGAGGCGUAUGGGGGCAAUUGCCCCAUAUUUUGUUUUUCUUCUGACAUAAGGAUGGGGUGAACAGGCCCUGUCCCACUCCUCCUGGCUUCUCCCUGGAUCCCUUCUUCCCAGGUCCCCCCCCCCCCCCCAAUGUGUGCCCAGCCACCCUCCCUCCCAGCACGGAUCAACAAUGUGGCCCCAAGGCAACAAAGUUUGCCCAUGCCUGAUCUACACCCUAGAAUUAGUGCAGUUUGACAGCACUUAUGUGCUAUGGCUGAAUUGUAUGAAAUCCUGAUAUUUGUAGUACGGUGAGACUGGAGCACCUUUUGGCAGAAGAGACUAAAGGUCUUACAAAACUUCCAUGAUUCCAUGCAAGUUAAUGUUGUGUCAAACUGCAUCAAUUCUACAAUGUAGAUAAAUACUGAGAAACAAUUGUAGAAGGAGGUAAAACUGAGGGACAUGGUAGAGUUUUGUCGUAUCCUGUGUACCAUGGAGAAAAUAAAUUACAGCCCAUGCACACAUCUGAUGCCACCAAGUUAGCUCCUACAAAUCACACAGUUAAGAUCAGAGCUGUCAAAGCAAGCAGCAAAACAUAAAAAAUACAGUGGAUCAUCAAAAUUGCAAGAAAUAGGUUCUAAGGCAGUGGUUCUCAAUUUGGGUUCCUCAGAUGUUUUUGGUCUUCAACUCCCACAAAUCCUAACAGCUGUUAAACUGGCUGGGAUUUCUGGAAGUUGUUGGCGAAAACACCUGGGGACCCACAGGUUGAGAACCACUGCUCUAAGGUGUGGAAGGACACUCUGCUAGCCUCUUACACUGAAAAUGCAUUCUGGAGUUGCAUUGGUGUUAUCGCAGCUGCAGUGGCCACAACAGAGAAAGGGUGUGCCACUUAAAGGGACCAGUGUAACUCUCUAAUUCUAAUCCCUCGCCCCAAUCCACUAGUUAUCAGGGAAGAAAUAUAGGCUCUGUUUUCACUGACCAUUUCAUGCAGUUUCAAACUGUUUUUGAAGAAAGUGGUUUUGCUGUGCAGAUGAUUACAUAGGAAAUCCUAUAAUCAGUUCGAGGCCCAGAUGAUGAUCGCACAAACCACAGAGCACUGGUGCACAUCAAGGGCUCUUUUUUUGGCGGACUUUUGUGGGAAUUUGUUGUUUGAAUGUCACAGCAUUAAAUGGCCAAUGUAGACGGGGCUAUCGUGACUGGUACUUGCUCCAGCCAUAUACCAAAGGUAAUGGAAUAUUUUGGCUGCAUUCCACUGCCAAACCAGCUGCAUUACUGUUAGAUAAAGAUGCCAGCUUACAACUCAUGAAAAAUAGCAUUGACUCAAUGUAUCAAAGUUCCCUUAAUUCCAUUUAUUUUUAGAAUGCUACCCUAGGUGGAGUGAAAGAAAAAGAAGACAAAUUUGAAGUUUGCAGAGAUACUGUUCAGAGAAGAAAAAAAAUCCAAGGAGUAAUUUCUAAUCAAUAUUGGCAUGACAUGGAUUCUAGCACCACCAUGAGUUCAAAAAGCAAAAGACAGAUUGGUUGUUUCUGAAAUAAAACUGCAUUUUGUUGUAAUUUUGGGGUCUAUUUUUACAGUGAAGUCAUCUUUUCUAAACAUAUAUUCAUUUUUGUAAUUCAUUCAGCAAACAGUUUCAGGAUUAAUGAUCUGCUAAUAAACAUUUAAUAAUUAUGUGCUACAUGGCCGUGAUAUGAUUUUCUUCUCAAGCAUUUUUGUCUGUAAUAAUGUGUGCUCUUGUGUGCAAAUCAACAAUCACUAAGUACAAUCAAGCUGCUCCAAGUUUCAUGUUGUUAGCUAUAAUAUAAAAUCCCUGUGACCCCAUUACCUAAGAGACUCAAUUGACAUUUUAUUAAAUUGUUAUAAAGAUCCCUAUCCUUUCUUGCUUUAAUUUGGUGGUUUACAAAAUCUCAAUAUUCUUAGCAAUCCAUCCUCUUCAAAGUAAGGAUGGGCACAAAGCUGUGAGAGUUGUUGGAAUGAGAAGUACAUGCACAAAUGUUAGUUUUUUAGCAUCAACUCUGCCUGAAUUGCAUUGAACUACAGUUUUAAAUUGCAAUAGAUGGGGUGCAAGACAAAAGGAGGACAUGCAGUUGCCUCACCUAAAACCUCAUGAAUAACUGAGGCCACUUCUACACUUCCAUGUAAUCCAGAUUAUCAAAGCACAUAAUCUAUGGCCCUUUGACACUGUCCUAUAUCCCAGGAAUUUAUCCCAGAUUAUCUGCUUUUCCCAGAUUAUCUGAUAGUGGAGACUCAUAUAAUCCAUUUUAAAGUAGAUUAUCUGGGAUAUAGGGCAGUGUGGAAGGGGCCUACAUUAUCUGCUUAGAGCUGAAUUAUAUAAAUCUACACUGCCAUAUAAUCCAGUUCAAAGCAGAUAAUCUGGAUUUUAUAUGGCAGUGUAGAAUGGGCCUGAAUCUUACAAACCUGCUUCCAGUUUCGUCUUUUGUGUUUAGGAAAGGUCUGCCACUUACUGGCUCAAGAUGGCAUUACGGGCUACUGGAUGAUUUUAAUAUGCUAACAUUAAUUAAUGUGUUGUUUUUUUUAAAAAAACAACAACAACAAACCCAUGAGGUACACACAUCUGUGUUUUGAAGCUAUAUAAAUGGACAUUGUUGUUACUGAUUUAUUAAUUAUAUGCUUAUUACUGUAUAUCUUUGUGCAGUAAGUUCAAGGCUGAGUAAAUGGGGCUUUUCCAUCCUCACUUUAGUCACUAAGGUAGAUGAAAUUGAGAAAGGCUAACAUUAUUAGUGAGUUUCAUGACUCAGUGGAAACUUGAUCUCCCAAACCUCAGUCCAGCAGUCUAAUUGAGAGCUGAUUUUUUUUAAAAAAAUGUUUUUUAAA